GGUGCAGUGCUGGAUUAUGAUGAUGCAGGUCCCAAUCCAAAGCAUGACCCCAGAAAAAAACCUGGCCCUGGUGGCAAGCCUUGAUUGCAGCAAAUUUCAUGCGCCUUAGUUCUAAUUAAUUUAUCAUUAAAUAUUAUUGUACUUCAGAAAAUAAUGAUCUUUAUGUACUUUCCAUCUUUGGCUACUAUAUUGCCUGCCCUAUGAUUAAUAAAAAAUAAAUGAUGUUUGCAUUGCUCCAUACCGACAGAAUCUUGUGGAGGGCACAGAUGAAUUGGAUUGAAGCUAUAAAUUAAAUAAUCUAGACAUCAUCGUAGCUCUUUCCUUUGUAUUUUUUUUUUCCCACGAAAGCAUGACCAUGCUCGGUAUUCACUGCUAAUUACAUGUAAGUAUAGCCAUAUGAAGUGUGUAAUACAUAUUAUAAAUUUACUAGUGUAAGGAUCCUUCUCCUGAUUUAUGUUCUUCCUAAUUUAAAAUAAUCACAUGUUACAUGUGCUUUAAUACUUAAGAAUAGUCACUCAUCUGCACUUAAUUUGUUUAAGAAAAAUACGUCAAACAUAUGUGAAAUUCAGUGACGCCAAAUUGUAUCAAAAUCAUGAGAGAAAUUCUAAAGCUAAUUAUAGGUUUACUUGCAAUUAGUUAGAAUCCUCUUUGAAAUCCCUUGAAUUUCUUAUUUUGAUAAAUUUAUAGUAUUCAGGAUCAGUGUAAAAGGAAGUUUAAAAUCUUAAUUUUAUCAUUCAAAAUUUUCAGAAACUUGUGUUUUUCUAUCUUUUCAAUCCCAAUAUUUUUGUUUCAUCAUAAUUCUUAUUUUUUAUCACCCAUGCUUAAUUGAUCACAGGCACAAAGCAUACUCACAGCUAGCAAAGCUGGCGCCAAAGGAAAGUUUUUUGUUUAAAACAUUUGAAUGAUUUUUUCCGUGACCAUUCAUUCGACAGUUAUCAUAAUUGAAUGCCUGAAUUUUAUGAAGUGUGGGCUUGUUCAUGAUUCACAAUAACUUGUCGUCAAUUUAUUUAUGAUUCAUAGAAACCACUAAACAUUAUUGAAUUAUGUUAUGAACCACAUAAACACCAGAGAAAAAGCUUUGAAAAAUAUUUUAAUCCAAGAUCUUGCACUUUAAUAAAGUCUAAAAACAUCAUUAAACUAUAUAGUUUAAUAGUGUAAUAUAUAUAUAGUCUUUCUCGAGUGAGGACAAAAUGAAGAUGCUAGUAAAAUAUAAAAAACACAAAUUUCAAUAUAUUAGAAAAUAUAUUUUAUUGUAUAUUAAUGUAUUUAUAAUUUUUUAUCUGUUAGUGUGUGUUGAGUGUUAGAAAAUGUAUAUUUAUAAAGGAGAAAAUCGUCAUUUUACAUUUCAAGUCUUACUAACAACCCUUACUUUAUGUAUUUAAGGUUCUUGUAAUUUAAUUAUGUGUGUUUUAUUUUAAUUAAGUAUUUUGUGUAUUUUAGGGGCAUCAUAGUCAUUUCACAAUAAACGAGAGAUCAAACGGAAAAACAGACAUCACUUUUGAACUCAGGACGGUCGAAAACCUUAGGAGGAGCAUAAAAGGAAAAAUGACAAUGUUCACAUGUACGGUAUUAUCUACGUUACUGUUCAUGACACUGUUCACAUAGACGGAUCGAUGACGUGGCAUUGACCGAUGAUGUGGCAUUGACUGAUGAGGUGUCAUGAUCCUGUUGGUCUAAAAUUCUUAUGAACUGUUGAUGGUGACGUGGCAGCAUAUUAGUGGACCAAAACUUGCGCGUACGGUACAUGCAUUACACAAGAUUAUUUUCAACCAAACCGCGUUACUGUUCAAAGCCGGGUCAAACCGUGUUACUGUUCACCCACGUGGUCAAACCGCGUACUNNNNNNNNNNNNNNNNNNNNNNNNNNNNNNNNNNNNNNNNNNNNNNNNNNNNNNNNNNNNNNNNNNNNNNNNNNNNNNNNNNNNNNNNNNNNNNNNNNNNNNNNNNNNNNNNNNNNNNNNNNNNNNNNNNNNNNNNNNNNNNNNNNNNNNNNNNNNNNNNNNNNNNNNNNNNNNNNNNNNNNNNNNNNNNNNNNNNNNNNNNNNNNNNNNNNNNNNNNNNNNNNNNNNNNNNNNNNNNNNNNNNNNNNNNNNNNNNNNNNNNNNNNNNNNNNNNNNNNNNNNNNNNNNNNNNNNNNNNNNNNNNNNNNNNNNNNNNNNNNNNNNNNNNNNNNNNNNNNNNNNNNNNNNNNNNNNNNNNNNNNNNNNNNNNNNNNNNNNNNNNNNNNNNNNNNNNNNNNNNNNNNNNNNNNNNNNNNNNNNNNNNNNNNNNNNNNNNNNNNNNNNNNNNNNNNNNNNNNNNNNNNNNNNNNNNNNNNNNNNNNNNNNNNNNNNNNNNNNNNNNNNNNNNNNNNNNNNNNNNNNNNNNNNNNNNNNNNNNNNNNNNNNNNNNNNNNNNNNNNNNNNNNNNNNNNNNNNNNNNNNNNNNNNNNNNNNNNNNNNNNNNNNNNNNNNNNNNNNNNNNNNNNNNNNNNNNNNNNNNNNNNNNNNNNNNNNNNNNNNNNNNNNNNNNNNNNNNNNNNNNNNNNNNNNNNNNNNNNNNNNNNNNNNNNNNNNNNNNNNNNNNNNNNNNNNNNNNNNNNNNNNNNNNNNNNNNNNNNNNNNNNNNNNNNNNNNNNNNNNNNNNNNUUUAUCUUAUUAAUUUAUUUUUAGUUAAUUUAUUUCACGUAUUUAUUUUUGUGUAUUUUUAUAGAAAGAUUUUAACAGCGUGAUAAGGUUAGUAACGUAAUUUCUCCUUCUUCUUUAUUUUUAUUUGUUUUGUUCCCAUUUAUUUUUGUGUUUCUUGCAUGCAUGGUCGUAGGUCAUUAUUACCUAAUCUUGAACCUAUAGACCUUGAACUAGAAAAAAAACUUCGAACACACAAGCACGUUAAAAAUAAAUUUGGAAUGGAUUUACAAACACCACAGGAGAGGCCAUUUAAGGAUUAUUUUAGUCCUUUAGCAAAUUUGAGCAUAUCAUGUAUAAGAUACCCAAAUGUAACUGCUAGAAGUUUUGAACUAACACCUAGUGUGCUAAAUUGUCUCCCCACAUUCUAUGGCUUAGAAAAUGAGGACCCAUAUAAUCAUUUGAAUGAUUUUCAUGCUGUUUGUCAAACAUUUAGAUAUGAGAAUUUUUCAGAUGAUGAUGUUAAACUUAGACUAUUCUCAUUUUCUUUAAAGGAUAGAGCUCGUUCAUGGCUUAAUACAUUGCCUGCCAAUAGCAUCACAUCAUGGGAACAAAUGGUAACUAAAUUUUUGAAUAAAUAUUUCCUAGUGUAUAAAAUCAAUGCUAUUCGCAAGGAAAUCUCGGAGUUUACCCAGAGAGAAGACGAGCAAUUUUUCGAAACAUGGGAGCGAUUCAAUGGGCUACUCUUGAAGUAUCCACAUCAUGGGUACGAGAAAUGACACCAAUGCCAAUACUUUUUGGAGGGAUUAUUGCCGAUGUGCAAGAAUGGCUAAUGGCAACAAGUGGAGGAGAGCUAAUGUCAAAAAGUGCAUCAGAAAUUUGGGAAUUCUUCCAGCGACAAGCGGAUAAUUCCCAACAACGGAAUUGAUCACUCAGGAAUACUAGAAGAAUUAAGGGAGUAAAUGAGGUUCACAUUGGCGAGUCAAGUUCAGAAAUUAAAGAAGUCAAAGCAAUAAUUGAAGGCCUCUCUCGACAAAUAGCAUCGUUAUCGACUGCUAAAUCAAUAGAGCCACAUGACGAUGACUCAUACUCAAAUCAAGCCAAUGCCAUAGGUGUAAUGAGAAAACCAUCAAAUUACAACCCAUACUCCAACACAUAUAACCCUGGAUGGAGAGACCACCCCAAUUUUUCAUGGUCUCAAGGAUUCCAACAGAAUGGGCCAGCAGCUCCAGCUCCACCAAUGCAACCAAUUCCUCAAAAUCCUCAAGCCUCUCAGCCACCAUUUAGACCAUACAAUCAGAACUAGAACUACUCUCAACCCAGACCAUGGGAGGAUGCAUUCCAUAAUUUCAAGAAUGUUACUCACUCCACAAUUGAGCAACAGAACCGCACCAUUGAUGGACUACGAAAUGAGUUGAGAGCAGGCUUUAACUCACAAGCCCAAUCAGUUUCAAGCCUCGAGAAGAUGGUGGGACAACUUGCUUCUUCAAUUCAGACCUUGGCAACGACUAUUGAAAAAGGUAAAUUUCCAAGUCAACCAGUGCCUAAUCCUAAAGGAGUACAUGAAGCAAGUACCAGUUCACCACAGCAGCAUGGAGAGGUCAAAGCAGUCAUGACCUUGCGAAAAGGAAAAGAAGUCGACAAUAAAGUGGAGAUGCCGGUGACAAAAGAAAAUCAAAUUGUACCUGUGAAUGUUGAGGACUCACCACCGGAGGAAAAAGAAGAAACCAACCCACGAGAAUAUGUUCCUAAAGCUCCAUUUCCUCAGAGGUUAGCGAAAGCAAAGAAGGGAAAAUCCACAGGUGAGAUUCUCGAAAUCUUCAAACAAGUAAGUGUUAACAUCCCUUUACUUGAUGCUAUUAAACAAGUUCCAUCUUAUGCCAAGUUUCGUAAAGACCUUUGUACUAAAAAGAGAAGCAUGCAUGUUCAAAAGAAGGCAUUUUUAACAGAAAACGUUAAUUCUAUACUCCAACAUAAAAUUCCUUUAAAAUGAAAAGACCCAGCCUCCCCCACUAUCUCAUGUAGUAUAGGGAACCACACAAUUGAGAAUGCUUUGUUGGACUUAGGAGCUAGUGUAAAUUUGUUGCCUUAUUCAAUAUUUGUGAAGCUUGGACUGGGAGAAUUACACCCAACUCCAGUGGUGUUACAACUUGCAGAUCGGUCCACAAAAAUACCUCGUGGUAUUGUGGAGGACGUGCUUAUCCAGAUAGACAAGUUUUAUUUUCCUGUUGAUUUCAUUGUAAUUGACACUCAACCAAUACAGGACUCAAGGAAGCACAUCCCCAUUAUUCUAGGCCGACCUGCUGUACGGCCAAGGCGGAUGUACGGUACAGCAGCUUCUUUAUUUUUAUUUAUUUUGUUCCCAUCUUUAUUUUUUAUUUUAUUUGUUUUGCAUGNNNNNNNNNNNNNNNNNNNNNNNNNNNNNNNNNNNNNAAUUCCUCAAAAUCCUCAAGCCUCUCAGCCACCAUUCAGACCAUACAAUCAGAACCAGAACUACUCUCAACCCAGACCAUGGGAGGAUUCAUUCCAAAAUCUCAAGAAUCUUACUCACUCUACGAUUGAGCAACAGAACCGCACCAUUGAUGGAUUACGAAAUGAGUUGAGAGUAGGCUUCAAUUCUCGAGCUCAAUCAGUUUCAAGCCUCGAGAAGAUGGUGGGACAGCUUGCUUCUUCAGUUCAGACCUUGGCAAUGACUGUUGAGAAAGGUAAAUUUCCAAGUCAACCAGUGCCUAAUCCUAAAGGAGUACAUGAAGCAAGUACCAGUUCACCACAGCAGCAUGGAGAGGUCAAAGCAGUCAUGACCUUGCGAAAAGGAAAAGAAGUCGACAAUAAAGUGGAGAUGCCGGUGACAAAAGAAAAUCAAAUUGUACCUGUGAAUGUUGACUCACCAUCGGAGGAGAAAGAAGAAACCAGCCCUCGAGAAUAUGUUCCCAAAGCUCCAUUUCCUCAAAGGUUAGCUAAAGGAAAGAAGGGAAAAUCCACAGGUGAGAUUCUUGAAAUCUUCAAACAGGUAAGUGUUAACAUCUCUUUACUUGAUGCUAUGAAGCAAGUUCCAUCUUAUGCCAAGUUUCUUAAAGACCUUUGUACUAAAAAGAGAAACAUUCAUAUUUAAAAGAAGGCAUUUUUAAUAGAAAACGUUAGUUCUAUCCUUCAACAUAAAAUUCCUCUAAAAUGCAAAGACCCAGGCUCCCCCACUAUCUCAUGUAGUAUAGGGAACCACACAAUUGAGAAUACUUUGUUGGAUUUAGGAGCUAGUGUAAAUCUAUUGCCUUAAUUAGUAUUUUUGAAACUUGGACUUGGAGAAUUACACCCAACUCCAGUGGUGUAACAGCUUGCAGAUCGUGGAUUACAGCUUGCAGAUCGUGGAUUACAGUUUGCAGAUCGGUCCACGAAAAUACCUCGUGGUAUUGUGAAGGACGUGCUUAUCCAGGUAGACAAGUUUUAUUUUCACGUCGAUUUCAUUGUAAUUGACACUCAACCAAUACAGGAUUCAAGGAAGCACAUCCCCAUUAUUCUAGGCCGUCCUUUCUUGGCAACUGCGGAUGCUCACAUUAAAUGCAGAAUUGGAAAUAUGCAGUUGUCCUUCGGCAACAUGACUAUGGAGCUGAUCAUCUUCAGAUUUUGAUAUUGACAGAUCGUGUUUAACUCACUUUGGUUUGGAUUUUGAUAUUGACAGAUCGGUCGAUGCGGUCAACGCCCUACUUGACUCAGCACCAUCCAUGGACACUAAUAAAUGGAAGUCAAGAGUUGAACAACUAGCACCAUCAGAAAAGAAACUCAUCACAUCAUCAGAAUCACCACUGAAACUCGAGCUCAAACCAUUGCCCAACACUCUGGAAUAUGUAUUUUUUGGAGAAGAAAGUACUCUGCCGGUAAUCAUCUCAUCAUCCCUAAAUGACGAACAAAAAGGUAAGUUGUUAGAUGUUUUAAAAGAACAUAAAGGAGCAUUAGGAUAGACCAUAGUAGACAUAAAAGGUAUAAACCCAGUAGACUGCAUGCAUUACAUUCACCUUGAUGAAAAUGCUAAACCUACUAGGGAAAUGCAACGUCGGUUAAAUCCUAACAUGAAAGAGGUUGUUAGAACUGAAGUUCUUAAGCUAUUAGAUGCAGGUAUCAUUUACCCAAUUUCUGAUAGUUCAUGGGUCAAUCAUGUGCAAGUUGUCCCCAAAAAGUCAGGAGUCACAGUAGUUACGAAUGCCGAUAAUGAAUUGAUACCCACUAGAGUGACUACAGGAUGGCGUGUAUGCAUUGAUUAUAGAAAGUUAAAUUCUGUCACACGUAAAGACCAUUUUCCUUUACCAUUUAUCGAUCAAAUGCUUGAUAGAUUAGCAGGCCAUGAAUUUUAUUGCUUUCUAGAUGACUACUUAGGUUAUAAUCAGAUUCUCAUAGCACCAAAAGAUCAAGAGAAAACCACUUUCACUUUCCCUUUUGGCACUUUUGCAUAUAGGAGGAUGCCAUUUGGAUUAUGUAAUGCACCUGCUAUAUUUCAACGAUGCAUAUUAAGCAUUUUUUCUGAUUUUGGAUUAUGUAAUGCACCUGCUAUUAUGGAUGACUUUUCUGUCUUUGGUGACUCGUUUGAUCAAUAUUUACAUCAUCUAACACUAGUUCUGCAGAGAUGUAUCGAGAAGAACUUAGUCUUAAAUUNNNNNNNNNNNNNNNNNNNNNNNNNNNNNNNNNNNNNNNNNNNNNNNNNNNNNNNNNNNNNNNNNNNNNNNNNNNCUGCAGAGAUGUGUCAAGAAGUUGGUCUUAAAUUGGGAGAAGUGUCAUUUUAUGGUAAAACAAGGUAUUGUUCUCGGUCACAUCAUUUCGAGUAAAGGUAUUGAGGUUGACAAAGCCAAGGUGGAUCUCAUUUCUAAUCUUCCUCCACCCAAAACAGUCAGAGAAGUAAGAUCUUUCCUUGGGCAUGCUGAUUUUUAUAGACGUUUCAUUAAAGAUUUUAGCAAAGUUUCUAAACUCUUAUGCAAUCUACUUGCUAAUGAUGUACAAUUCCCCAUGUUAUUUACUAUGCUAGUAUGACAUUAAAUGAUGCACAGUUGAACUAUUCAACUACUGAAAAAGAAAUGCUAGCAGUAGUGUUUGCAUUAGAGAAAUUUCGAUCUUAUCUCAUUGGUUGUAAAAUAAUUGUGUUCACUAAUCAUGCUGCUCUUAAAUAUCUUCUCACAAAGAAAGAUGCAAAAGUUAGACUAAUUCGUUGGGUGUUACUUUAGCAGGAAUUCGACUUAGAAUUUAAAGAUAAGAAAGGCACAAAGAAUGUUGUAGCUGACCAUCUCUCUCGUCUCCAUUUUGACACAAUUAUGGAAUCAUUACCAUUGAAUGAGUCAUUUCCAGAUGAACAAUUGAUGAGUGUAGAAGUAUUACCAUAGUAUGUUGACAUCGUGAAUUAUCUUGUUACAGGUCAACUUCCAGAUCAUUAGACCAAGCAAGACAAGCCUAAAUUUUUUACGGAAAUAAAGAAUUUCUUUUAGGAUGACCCGUAUUUGUUCAAGUAUUGUGCAGACCAAAUUGUUAGACGAUGUGUCCCAGAAAGUGAAAUUCAGAAUAUCCUUUCAUUCUGCCAUGAACAAGCUUGUGGAGACCAUUUCAGUGCUAAAAAAACAGCGACUAAAAUUUUACAAUGUGGUUUCUAUUGGCCAACUAUAUUUCGAGACGCUUACACUUUCUGUUCUUCAUGUGAUAGGUGUCAACGAAUGUAGAGCAUUACACGAAGGAACAUAAUGCCACUAAAUCCAAUUUUAGUGGUUGAGAUUUUUAACGUAUGAGGUAUCGACUUCAUGGGACCCUUUCCCCCUUCUUUUGGCCAUCAAUACAUAUUGGUUGCUGUUGACUACAUAUCGAAAUGGGUAGAAGCAAUUCCAUGUAGAACCAAUGAUCACAAGGUGGUGAUAGGAUUUUUUAAAAGCAACAUUGUUUCACGCUUUGGAUUCCCUCGAGCGAUAAUCAUUGAUGGUGGUGCCCACUUUUGUAACAAAGCAUUCAAAGCUCUUUUGACAAAGUAUUCAAUCACUCACAAAGUGGUGACCCCAUAUCAUCUGCAAACCAAUGGCCAAGUUGAGAUCUACAAUCGAGAAAUAAAGCACAUAUUAGAAAAGACGGUGAGGCCAGACAGAAAAGAUUAGUCAUUAAGACUUGAUGAUGCAUUAUGGGCAUAUAGAACGGCUUUCAAGACCCCGAUUGGAAUGUCACCCUAUAGGCUAGUGUAUGGAAAAGCUUGCCACGUACCUGUGGAACUCAAGCAUCAUGCAUAUUGGGCCAUCAAGAAAUUCAACUUUGACAUGCAGUAAGUUAGCUCAGAAAGAAGAUUACAGCUACUUUGAGUGAUUGUAAGUGUUGGGAUACAUUUGGGUUAAGAGAUUGGGGAUAAUAUCUUGUUGUAAAGGUUCAUUGACACCUUGGAAGUCAAGUGUAAGCAUUUCAAGCCUUGGAGGCUUGCUUAGUGAAAUCCUAAAGCCCGGAAAGCUUGGAGGCGUGGACGUAGGCGAGGUUGGCGGAACCGCAUAAAAAUUUUCUUGUUUGAAUCUCUGCUGUACGGCCAAGGCGGAUGUACGGUACAGCAGAGAAAGCACAUAUUAGAAAAGACGGUGAGGCCAGACAGGAAAGAUUGGUCAUUACGACUUGAUGAUGCAUUAUGGGCAUAUAGAACGGCUUUCAAGACCCCGAUUGGGAUGUCACCCUACAGGCUAGUGUAUGGAAAAGCUUGCCACCUACCUGUGGAACUCGAGCAUCGUGCAUAUUGGGCCAUCAAGAAAUUCAACUUUGACAUGCAGCAAGCCAGCUCAGAAAGAAGAUUACAACUGGCAGAACUUGAAGAAAUUCGUAAUGACGCAUACGAAAAUGCCAAGAUUUACAAGCAACGAAUGGAAGUCUUCCAUGAUAAGCAAAUUAUGAGAAAAUCUUUCACUCUAGGUCAGAAAAUAUUUUUAUUCAAUUCUCGCUUGCACCUAUUCCCAGGUAAAUUACGCUCUCGAUGGUCUGGCCCCUUUAUUUUUCAUAUUGUUUUUCCACAUGGGGCAAUUGAAAUUAAGGACCCAAAGAACGAUGUCACGUUUAAAGUUAAUGGUCAAAGAUUAAAGCCAUAUCUAGAGUACCAACCACAUGGAGAGGACAUCGAAAUAAAUUUGAGUGACCCACCAGAUUUGAAUUAAGUUUUUCUUUCUUUCUUUUCGGUGAUUUGAUUUUUUUUUCUUUCUCUCUUUUUAUUAUUUUUGCUAAUUGAAAUUAUUUUUGCAUAAGUGUGUUUGUUUAACCAUUAAGCUUUUUUUUCUUAUCAUUGUUAAUCAUGAGCACCAUACUUAAACCGUUCCUCCUGAACAUUUUUAAACCACUUCAACAUAUAAAAUCUCAUCUCAAAAGGCAGAUUCAAUUUUGUAAAACACAUCGUAUUUGGGCUCUGCAACCAUCAGAGUUAGUAUCCUAUGUUGAGGGUUUAGAAAGCCAACUCAGAGACAUUGAGAGAAGUGUUUACGACAUCCAAUUGGAGCUUGAGGUAAAUUCAAUAAGAGGACGAUUUUAAUUUUCUUUGUGUGUUUUAAUUUAUUUUUCUGUUUGUGUGCUUUAGUUUGUUCCCCCGGUGAAGUGGCGGAUAACGGUACUCCGUGACAAUCAAGUCGGUUACUUCAGUUUCCCAUAAUAAUUGAUAUUCUGAGUCGAAGGUAUGGACAGAAACGAGAUUCUAGCAAAGCUUCACAAUCGAUUCCCUUCACUUCCUCAAAAUGCCCUCCUUACAAUCUAUAAAGCUCGGUCCGAACGCAUGCAAUUGCUCAUGAGGAAUAACAUACCUGCUGACAUCCGUUGGUUAAUCGAGGCUAAAGUACGAUUGGCAGGUGAGUUACCUCCAAAAUUUAUUUAUGCGUUAUUUGACACUGACAUGCCACCUCAUACACAGUUGUAACCCACUAUCACCAAGAUUCUUAAAUAUGACUUUUUGUUAAGCACUCACAAAUUAUUUUUGAGAAAUAUUCCAAUGGCAACUACUCUCAAUAGAUAAUUCAAAAACAUUUGUGUGCUUUCUAGAUUUACCUAUGGCAAACAUAAAGAGUUCGUUGAUGCAGCCAUAGAUCUUGGUCGAAGCAUAGCAGAGAGAAAAUUACACUUGGUGUAUGGAGGAGGUAACCGAGGGUUAUCAAAAUUGGUCUCAGAAGCUGCUUUUGUCAGAGGAAGCCAAGUGUUAGGCAUCAUCCCAAGAGCUCUAAAACCUUUGGGCAGUUUGUCUGACUCAUCGACUGGAGAAGAGUUAGUCGUUUCAGGUAUGCAAGAAAGAAUAACUGAAAUGCUUAAUCAUGCUGAUGCUUUUAUUUUCCUUCCAGGAGAUCUUACAAUACUAGAGGCACUUAUCACACUAGCAUCUUGGGCUCAUCUGCACAUUCACCAGAAAUCCAUCGGUUUGUUAAAUGUCAAUAACUUUUAUGAUGGCUUCAUCGCAUUUCUUAACCAUGCAAUAAAAAACUACUUCAUUCCUUCCAAUGCGAAAAAACUUUUAAUUUGUGCUCACAUUUCUAAUGAGCUACUUGAUAUGUUACAAGCUUAUAAACCGGAGCCAGACCCCUGGACCUUUGUGUUGGAGUGUCCAAAUAAUGACGGUAACAAUAGCCGCAGUAAGAAGUACAAAUUAGAUUUAACUCUCCGCUUAUAAAUAUUUUCUUCUGUGUUGUACCACCCAGGUGAUGUCUUCUAAACUCUACUUCUUUCCUUGACAACAUUGAGGACAAUGUUUCGUUCUGGUUGGGGGGAGGGAAUAGUCGACAAUUGUGGAAUCUUAGUUAAGUUUUUACUGAUUUUUUGUUGUAGAAACUAACUAUUACUAAUUUUUUGUGUUGAAGAUGGCUGAAUAUGGAGUGUAGUGACUUUAGAAACGCAUCUUCAUCAUUUUAAAAAAAAACAUAAAAAAAUUAAAAAAAACAAAACAAUACAAAAAAAAAAUUCCAACAUUUUCUUUUUCUUUAUUAAGUUUUGAUGUUCAUUUUUCUUCUUCUUUUUAAUUUCUCCUUUAUAAAUAUACAUUUUCAAAAUUUUGAGUCGAAGAUGGCUGAAUAUGGAGUGUAGUGACUUUAGAAACGCAUCUUCUUAGUAAGUGUAACUUUUCUAAUUAGUUUUUAUGCAUCAUUUUCACAUUUCUGCAUGCAUAUUUUCCUUUCAUGUUUAGGAUAGGUUGGGGGGUAUAAUGUUGUUUAAAAAAAAAAAAUUUGUGUGAUUUGUUUUAACAUUGGAUGACAUGAUUAAUUUCAAAUUUUAGUAUUUGUAUUAUCUUUGGUCUUAAGUGAUGUUACGCCAUGUUUGCUACUUUACAUGUUGACGUCAAAGACAAAUAUGAGUUGCUUGAAGGAAUGAACAUAUCAUAAUAAGUAUCAAGUGAGUUUUUGAGCCUAUCAUUUUUCUUGGAGAGUAACCCUUUUGUCCAUUCUUUAUACAACUUAGCAGUUUAUUAUUUUAUACACGAUCUCUAGAUUUCUUUUGAGUUAACCCUUAAAAAAUUUGUAAAAUAAAAAAGAAAAAAAAGUGUGUUGCUACAUUUGGAGGCCCAUCUAACUAGUAGAUAUGGAAGAUUAUUUAGAGCCCUAAAAGACGAUGGAAAGACCAUCUUUGAUCCGUUUGAGCCUUUCUAGCCAUCCCUUUUAUCAAAUAUCCAUAGUUAACCCUUUUGAUCCUUAAAAAAAAAAAAAAAACUUUUCUUUGUCAAACUUAUCAUCUUGACCCACUCCGAUUUAGAGUAUUAUCCAAUAUCUUACAAGUUCCAUCACCUAUUAUGUUUGAGAAAAAUGUAAAUAAACAUUUUGUACAGUAAAAUUAUGCCCUAAAAAAAAAAGAGAGAUAUUGUUGUUUCAAAAAAAAAAGAAAAAAAAAUGUUGUUUCAAAAAUAAAAAUAACAAUAAUAUGUGACAUCCACCUUGCAACUUCCCUAAAGAAAAAAAAAAUUCUCUGCAUUUUUCUCAAACAUACACUUUGUUUUCCCUAUUUCCCUUCUUUGUUAGCCAUGUCCCUAGCCUACGUUACAUCCUAAUAAAAGUCCUUCUUGAUUUUAGGGAACUAUAGUCUGAAGUAGAAGCUAGUUAUAUGGGCUAAAAAGGUGUAGUGGUGCAUAAAAAAUAAUAAUAAUAAAUAAAUAAAUUGGGUUGACUAACAUUUUUAUUUNNNNNNNNNNNNNNNNNNNNNNNNNNNNNNNNNNNNNNNNNNNNNNNNNNNNNNNNNNNNNNNNNNNNNNNNNNNNNNNNNNNNNNNNNNNNNNNNNNNNNNNNNNNNNNNNNNNNNNNNNNNNNNNNNNNNNNNNNNNNNNNNNNNNNNNNNNNNNNNNNNNNNNNNNNNNNNNNNNNNNNNNNNNNNNNNNNNNNNNNNNUCUUGUAAUUUAAUUAUGUGUGUUUUAUUUUAAUUAAAUAUUUCAUGUAUUUUAAGGGCAUCAUGGUCAUUUCACAAUAAACGAGAGUUCAGACAGCAAAACGGACAUCACUUUUAAACUCAGGAUAGUUGAAAAUCUUAGGAGGAGCAUAAAAGGAAAAAUGACACUGUUCACAUGUAUGAUACUAUUCACAUGUUCGGUAUUGUCUACGUUACUAUUUACGACACUGUUCACAUAGACGGAUUGAUGACGUGGCAUUGAUCGAUGAUGUGGCAUUGACUAAUGAGCUGUCACGAUUCUGUUGGACUAAAUUUCUUAUGUACUGUUGAUUGGGGACGUGGCAGCAUGUUAGUGGAUCAAAAAUCACGCGUACGGUACAUGCAUAUACACAGGAUUAUUUUCAACCAAACUGUUUCACUGUUCAAACCGCGUUACUAUUUAAACCGCAUGGUCAAACCGUGGUACUAUUUAAAUCACGUGGUCAAACUGCGUACUGUUGACUGAUGACGUGGCGCAAUCCUGAGCCUCCAAAAUAUUUUUAAUCCGACGGCCAUGAUUUACUCAGUGUAUCUAUAAAAAAGGGGCUCUCCCCCCCUAAUUUGGCAUCCCCGAAAUUUAUUUUUAAGCUCCAUUUUCUGUAAUUUCUUCUCCAUCUUGUAUUUUCUACGUAUUUUAAUAAAUUCCCAUUUAACCCCUAGUUCAAUUAUGAGUAACUAAUUUUCUUUCAAGCUUGGGUUGAAGGUGAAGUCUCAACAUGUGCCAUAGACUUUAUUUGGUAAAUUUACUUUCUCUUCCCCUCUAAUUAUUGUGGAUGUUUUGACUUUUCGUCGAUAAAUAGUAAUAAUCUUGUCUAGAUACCGUCCUGGUUUCACCGGCUCCAUAGUACAAGGUUAUUAUUAUUUGGCACGAUAAGCCCUUAGCACCAUAUUGAUUAGAGUGUGGUUCAUGAGGAGUGGAAAUCCCCCUCGUGAUUUAAUUGGCAUUAAUAAGGAAUAUUUAGCCCAUGGUGCAUGUUGAUGCAGAUCUAGAUACCCAAGCGCCUCAAUUUCAAUAGAUUUCUCUUUGAUUUAUUCUUGCCAUUUUAAUUCAAAUUUUAGGAUAGUUCAAAUCAUUUUCACCACAAAUCCAACAAAUGUCAUAGAAAAUUAAUUCUACGUAUAAUUAAAAUCUAUGUCCUUGUGGGAUCGACACUCGUCACUGUUAAUCUAUUCUACAAUAAAUUCGUAUGCUUACGAGUUCAAUAAAAUUUGCACAACAAUACCGAUGACAAGACUCUUCAAGUUGACGAAUUGGCUCAUUCAGGUUGCCUUAGUCUUAAUGCAUCUCGUCAUCAUGGUGGAUCAUGUCAAUCUUUUCAGGAUUACAAAGGAGAUUAAGUGUCGUUGAGUUCUUGAGGUAGUUGUUGAAAAGAAUUGCAAUAGUCAUAUAUGGCGUCAAUUAUUGAUAACAAAAUUUGGCUCAACAAUGUGAUCAGGUUGUAUGGAGAUGAGCUGUCACGAUUCUGUUGGACUAAAUUUCUUAUGUACUGUUGAUUGGGGACGUGGCAGCAUGUUAGUGGAUCAAAAAUCACGCGUACGGUACAUGCAUAUACACAGGAUUAUUUUCAACCAAACUGUUUCACUGUUCAAACCGCGUUACUAUUUAAACCGCAUGGUCAAACCGUGGUACUAUUUAAAUCACGUGGUCAAACUGCGUACUGUUGACUGAUGACGUGGCGCAAUCCUGAGCCUCCAAAAUAUUUUUAAUCCGACGGCCAUGAUUUACUCAGUGUAUCUAUAAAAAAGGGGCUCUCCCCCCCUAAUUUGGCAUCCCCGAAAUUUAUUUUUAAGCUCCAUUUUCUGUAAUUUCUUCUCCAUCUUGUAUUUUCUACGUAUUUUAAUAAAUUCCCAUUUAACCCCUAGUUCAAUUAUGAGUAACUAAUUUUCUUUCAAGCUUGGGUUGAAGGUGAAGUCUCAACAUGUGCCAUAGACUUUAUUUGGUAAAUUUACUUUCUCUUCCCCUCUAAUUAUUGUGGAUGUUUUGACUUUUCGUCGAUAAAUAGUAAUAAUCUUGUCUAGAUACCGUCCUGGUUUCACCGGCUCCAUAGUACAAGGUUAUUAUUAUUUGGCACGAUAAGCCCUUAGCACCAUAUUGAUUAGAGCGUGGUUCAUGAGGUGUGGAUUUCCCCCUCGUGAUUUAAUUGGCAUUAAUAAGGAAUAUUUAGCCCAUGGUGCAUGUUGAUGCAGAUCUAGAUACCCAAGCGCCUCAAUUUCAAUAGAUUUCUCUUUGAUUUAUUCUUGCCAUUUUAAUUCAAAUUUUAGGAUAGUUCAAAUCAUUUUCACCACAAAUCCAACAAAUGUCAUAGAAAAUUAAUUCUACGUAUAAUUAAAAUCUAUGUCCUUGUGGGAUCGACACUCGUCACUGUUAAUCUAUUCUACAAUAAAUUCGUAUGCUUACGAGUUCAAUAAAAUUUGCACAACAAUACCGAUGACAAGACUCUUCAAGUUGACGAAUUGGCUCAUUCAGGUUGCCUUAGUCUUAAUGCAUCUCGUCAUCAUGGUGGAUCAUGUCAAUCUUUUCAGGAUUACAAAGGAGAUUAAGUGUCGUUGAGUUCUUGAGGUAGUUGUUGAAAAGAAUUGCAAUAGUCAUAUAUGGCGUCAAUUAUUGAUAACAAAAUUUGGCUCAACAAUGUGAUCAGGUUGUAUGGAGAUUGUUGUGCAAAUUUUAUUGAACUCGCAAGUGCAUGAAUCUAUUGUAGAAUAGACUAAUGGUGACGAGUGUCGAUCCCAUGAGGAGGUGGAUUUUAAUUAUGUGUAGAAUUAAUUUUGUAAAUGGGUGGUUGGAUUUGUGGUGGAAGUGAUUUAAAUUAUCCUAAAAUUGGAAUUGAAAUGACGAGAAUAAAUUCUAAAAUUGGAAUUGCAAUGGCGAGAAUAAAUUGAAGAGAAAUCUAUUGAAAUGACGUACUUGGAUAUCUGGAUCUGUAUCAACAUGCACCAUGAGCUAAAUAUUCCUUAUUAAUGCCAAUUAAAUCAUGAGGGGGGAAUCCACACCUCAUGAACCACACUCUAAUCAAUAUGGUGCUAAGAGCUUAUCGUGCCAAAUAAUAAUAAUCUUGUACUAGAGGGCCGACGAAACCAAGGCGGUAUCUAGACAAGAUUAUUAUUAUUUGUCAACGAGAAGUCAAAACAUCCAUAAAAACUAGAGGGGAAGAGAAAAUAAAUUUACCAAAUAAAGCCCAUGACACAUGUUGAGACUUCACUUUCAACCUAAGCUUGAAAGAAAAUUAACUACUCAUAAUUGAACUAGAGGCAAAAUGGAAAUUUAUUAAAAUAUGUAGAAAAUACAAGAUGGAGAAGGAAUUACAGAAAAUGGAGUCCAAAAAUGGAUUCAGAGCUAUCAAGUUAGGGGGGGGAGGCCCCCUUUUUAUAGAUACAUUGAGUAAAUCAUGGCCAUCGAAUUAAAAACAGUUUGGACGCUCAGGAUUACGCCACGUCAUCAGUCAACAGUAUGCGGUUUGACCACGUGGAUGAACAGUAACACAGUUUGACCCAGGUUUGAACAGUAAUGCGGUUUGGUUGAAAAUAAUCCUGUGUAAUGCAUGUACCGUACACGCAAGUUUUGGUCCACUAAUAUGCUGCCACGUCACCAUAAACAGUUCAUAAGAAUUUUAGUUGAACAGUAUCAUGACACCUCAUCAGUCAAUGCCACAUCAUCGGUCAAUGCCACGUCAUCGAUCCGUUUAUGUGAACAGUAUCGUGAACAGUAACGUAGACAAUACCGUACAUGUGAAUAGUACCGUACAUGUGAAUAGUACCGUACAUGUGAACAGUACCAUUUUUCCUUUUAUGCUCCUCCUAAGGUUUUCGACCGUCCUGAGUUCAAAAGUGAUGUCCGUUUUGCCGUUUGAUCUCUCGUUUAUUGUGAAAUGACUAUGAUGCCCCUAAAAUACACAAAAUACUUAAUUAAAAUAAAACACACAUAAUUAAAUUACAAGAACCUUAAAUACAUAAAGUAAGGGUUGUUAGUAAGACUUGAAAUAUAAAAUGACGAUUUUCUCCUUUAUAAAUAUACAUUUUCUAACACUCAACAGAGAUCGGGCUAUUAAACCUCCUUGAGUAGUGUUCUAUGACUUCAUAAUUUGAGUGAUUUGAUCUAUAAAACAAGAAAAUUAUAAAGGUGCCAAGGUUAACACUCGCAAAGACUCUCUGACAUUUCAAGUCAGAAAUUAAAAGCGUUAACAAUAAAAACUUAAAGAAAAAAAGUUAAAGAAGAGAAAGAGCUCUAGUUUGCUUGGGCAUGAGAUUACCUAACCUUGUACACAAGAGCCUUUUUAUUACUUGGAAUACCUAAUGAGGUAACACAUAGGCAGGCAUAUAUGAGGAUUUUUCCUUGGAGUAGGACAUAGUAAUUAUUCUCAUAUUAGAUUUUGACUUCUUAUUAUUGUGUUGGUUACGUAAAAAACAAGGUAUAACAAAUAAUAUUAUAACUGUAUAAAUAGAUUUAAAUUAAUAGAAUUAAAUUAACAUUUCAUAUUCUCAAUAUCACCAAUAUUACAUCUUUUAUUUCCAUGUAUACUUAAAGGCAUAAUACAUUUUCCAUACUACAACUUUUUACAUCGUAAAACUAAUUCAGGAUCAUAUUGCAGUAAUUCAAGAUCAUCUCCAUUAACUUCCAUCGACUCAUACAUCUCUGGAAAUGUUUUUUUUAAAUAGCAGCAAAUUAAAACCUAAAAUGGCAAAAAAUUUAAGCAAAUUAAAACCUAAUAGAAAUAAAUUAACAUAAAAAUAGUAACAAAUUAACCCAAUAAACAGUAGGAAACAAACUUAGAAACUGUAUGAAAAAAUGCCAAAAAAGGAUUAAAUCAAGCUCAAAACUAGCAAAAAAUAAACCCAAAAAUAAUAGAAAAUUAACCUAAACAGCAGGAAAUCAAGCCUAGAAGCAGUAGGAAAUAAACCUAAAAAUAACAAAAAAGGCCAAAAAAAAGAUGAAUUCAAGCCUGAAAAUAGAAAAUAGCAGCGUAUAAAACGUAGAUACAAUAGGAAAACAAGUCUAACAAAUGUAAAAAAUUUACCUAGAAAUAGAAGCAAAUCAACACCAAAACUACGGCAAAUUAGCUCAAAAAUAGUAGAAAAUUUUCUAAAGAAAGCAAGUAAUCAAACAUAAAACAAAAACAAAUUAUCUUAGAAUCAGUAACAAAAUAGUGAAAAAUAAAGAAAAUAAUGAUAAAUCCAUCCAAAAAAAAGUAAAUAACAUUAGAAAUAGUAGUAAAUUAACCAAAAAUUGUAGAAAACAAUGCAAAGAAAAAAAAGGUAGGUAUUCAAACAUGAAAAUAGCAACAAAAAACUCCAAAAGCAAUAACAAAAGAGUGAAAAGCAGCAAUAAAACCACUAAGAAACAUAAGCAAAUCUGUAGAGAAAUUCACUCUCAAUUGUGCUGAAUAAUUCAAUGAAGAAGAAUAUAUAUACAGCCCUAGGAAUCUCUCCUUGGAAAGUUAAGACUACAAAAGAAUUAAUAGUUGUACAAUAAUAUCUAAUCAUAUCAUUAAGAUUCUUUAACACUCCCCCUGUUGUGCAAAUUUUAAUAUACUUGCAAAUGCAUAAGUUUAUUGGAGUAUAAAUUAAGAAUAGCUAAAUCAAACCCACAAGGAUUGUAAAUUUUUAGAAAACCCAAGUCUAAUCUAAGCUAAUUACAAAUCUAUCCUAGUUAAAAAGAAAAUAUUUUGUUUAAAAAGAUUUAGACUAAAGAUGUAAUUAAAAUUAAAACGAGUAAAUUAACACAAUAAUUCAAGAGAUUGAGACUACUAGGGUUUCAGAAUCCAUCACAGUUCAACUUAACAAUUAUAUAAUUAUCAAUCAAUUCACAAUUUUAAAGUGACAACUCCAAAUCAAUCUAUGUUUACUCAAGAAUAUAACAAUUCAGCAAAUUAAAAUUAGGGAAAUUAUCAGUCAUAUACCCUUAAAUGACACCAGUAUCAAACGUGCUACAACACUUUUCAAGUGUAUCACUCGUAUCCAAGCUCAAACUUGAAUUUUUUAUGGUAUAAUAUGUAUAAUUGUAAAUAAUAUGUUGUUAAUAAUUUUUUAUGGUAUAAGAUGAAUAUUUUUUAUGGAUAAUUGUUAAUAAUAUGUACCAUUAAUAAUUCAUAUUUUUUAAUAAAAAAUGUAUUGUUAAUAACAAAAUAAAAAAAAUUGUGUAUUGAAAAUUUACAUUAAUUUUCAAGGUAAAUUUAUUUUUUUACUUCAUUUUGAGUUUAAAGGGUAAAAUAGUCAUUUUGCUCAAAUUCUGUUAAGUUCUUAACGGUAGUAAACGGAAAGGUGGACGUCAGAACUCUUUUGUCAACUUAGGGUAUACGAGUGAUACAAGCGAAAAGUGUUGUAACACGUUUGAUACUAGUGUCAUUUAAGGGUAUAUGACUGAUAAUUUCCCUUAAAAUUAAUCUUAUGUUGGUUCUUUUUCUGCUUAAUAGUAUGAUAUCUAAGCAUCUCAUGUAAACAAUAUUAAAUAACAAAGAGUUAAAGUUAUUUAAAGCACUUUAUGUAAACAAUUCAUAAACUUUAUAAAUUGAAGAAUAAAUUUAGUCAAAUAUUAAUCAUAACAAUAAAUAAUGUACUGCAGAACUGAUGAAAAGAUUUAAUUACAUUCAACUAAAUAUGUGAGAUAAGAACCAUAAACAUUAAAAUAGAUGAGUAAGGAAUUAAUUGAAUAAAAAAUAAGUUAUUUCAUUGAACAAAGCUUUAUCCUUAACAUUAGUAUAGAAAAUUAAGUUACAUAUGAUUGAUUUAUGAAUAAAAGAGUAGAUAACACCUGUCAUCAGAAAUAUUAAAUCCAAGUGGCUGGCUCUUCUCCAAAAUUAUGUGGUUGUUCUGUCUUCCUUUCGGUCGCGUCCAAUUUUCUUCUUUAUUCCUGUAAAAGCCAAAGUCUUGGCUUAUAUAUUCUUAAGCCACCAACCUUAAUAAUCAUUUAAAGCUUGAUUUUUUGUUCUUUUUUCCUUUUUCAUCCUUAUGUGCAAGCUUUAGUGAUUGGCCCAUAAUUUCUUAGUUCAAUCUUACGAAGCCCACUAUAAUUUCUUCUUAAUCCUAUGUCUAAGGCCACAUUAGCGACAAACCCGAUAAUUUCCAUUUCUCUCCAAUUAUGUUCCCUUUAAGCCUUUUAUUUCAUUUCAUAGAUCAUCGAUUAUUUCCUGUUCAAUAAAAUAAAUAAAUUAUCUAAAAAUAUGAAUAAAAGAGACUAACUAGUAUAUUAUUAGAGAAAAAAUGUAUUAAUAUAUUAUGCCCAUCAAGUACCCCCAAACCUAAAUUUUGCCGGUUCUUGAGAAAACAAAACUAAAGAUAAAGAAACAAAUAAACUCUAACUAGACCACUUUUGCAAGUAAUCGCGUUUGCAUUUAGCAUAUGUAACAAGCCUUUAAACCUUUUAGUGGUCUUAGUGAGUUUUUAGCAAAGAUACCCACAAACAUCAUUAAUAGCGACCUAAAGAUAAUAAACAAAUACUAAAAGCAAUGACUUUUUUUAAGGCAUUUGUGUUCACUUCUUUAAUCAAAUAAAAUUAUAAGCAUUACUCCAUUCAAAAGAAAUAUCACUUCCACAUCAACCAUUCAUAUGAAUCAGUUAAGUAAACUUAUGGAAAAUAAUCAAUUAUCAAAACGACAUUAAUCAAGCCACUUUCAAGAAUGACAUAUCAAAUCCCAAAAUCUCAUAGGAUGAGAAUGACACUCUCAAGAGAAAUUAAACUCAAUAAAAACAAUUACUCCAAAGAAUUGCAAAUUGAGAGAAAAUAAUAUGAUCUCAAGUCAAAGGAUUUUCCAGUCAAACUAAUAAUAAUAUUAUUUUUAUUCAUCUUUUUUUAUUAUGUACCACCACAUCUUUCAAUCCAUAUCAGCAGCUUUUACUUUGGAGUAUAGUUCCCUAAAAUCGAGAAAAGAUUUUUACUAGGACGUAAUGUAGGCUGAAGACAUUAUUAACAAAAAAAGGAUUAAGGAAACAAAAACAAGAUAUAUACUUGACCAAAAAUAGAGAUUUUUAUAAAUAAAAAAAUUCAAGGUGCUUUCCACAUUGCUUUUCUUUUUAAAUCUUGCAUAUGUGUUUUUUUUCCAAUCACACUUUUUCUUGUUCUUUUUCUUAUUUGGCUUUUUCUUGUUUUUCUAUUUUUUCUCUUUGCUUUAUUGCACCACUUUUUUUAAAUAACAUAAUCAUCCCUACUUAUCCCAGCCAUGAAUCAAUUAUGGAAAAUAUAAAACGUUGGGUAAUACUCAAAUUAUAGUAGGAUAAAAUAAUAAGUUAACAAAGAAAAAUGUUAUUUUUUUAUUUUUUUUAUAUGCUCAAAAGAGUUAACUAUGUAUACUUCGCAAUGGGGAUAAUUAGAAAAGGCUCAAAUAGAUCAAAGAUUGCCUUUUUGUUAUCUUUUAGAGCUUUAAAUAACAUUCCAUAUCCACUAGUUUAAUGAACUUUCAAAUGUAACAACUCAAAAAAAAAUUAUUUUUUCAAUUGUCAACUUAAAAGAAAAAUAGAAAUCAUGUAUAAAAUAAUAAACUACUAAGCUGUAUAAAUGAAACAAAGGGAAAUGGUUACUCUCCAAAGAAUAAUAAUAGGCUCAAAUAACUCAAUCAAUUUUGGUCAUCAAAUCUCUCAACUCGCACUUGUCAUUAACAACAACACGCAAAUUAACAAACACGAUACAACAUAACUCAAAGCCAAAGAUAAUACAAAUACUAAAACUUAAAAGUCAUCAUGUCAUCUAAUGUCAAAAGCUCACACAAAAUUCCUUAAAUUUUUUAAUAAUUUUUUUAAAGAUACCUUACCCUCAAACUUAUGCUAAACAUUGUCCUCAAUGUUUUUAAUGUUCACUCAUGGAUGCAAAUGCACAAAAUAUAUAUAUAAAAAAAAGAGCAAUAAUAAUGAGAAAAUAAAUUGGAAGGAGUACACCUGGAUAAUAUUUGUAAGAAAACUAGUAACUUGAAACAAAACAAAAGGAAAGAAAUUGUUAAAUAAACUAAAAAUAAAAUAAAGAAUAAAAUAAUAAAAUAAAUGACAUAACAUCAACUUAACUAGAAUAGAUAGGACCACUUAAAGCUAUCAAUUUAUAUUUGUAUUCAAGUUUCAUGUCAGCCAUUUACAAUUUCAUGUUAAAAAUAUUCAACUCUAUAAUCGUAUUACCAAAUGACAACUGUAUAUUUCAAGUUAUGUAUUGAAUGUGUGCGUUGGCAGUUGCAAAGGAAGAUCGACUCAAGAGAAUGAGGAUUUGCUUCUUCGAAUUCUACAUUGGUCGAAUGUCAAUUACAAUAAAAUCAACGAGAAAAUAAAACUUGUCUACUUGGAUAAGCACGUCCGCCACAAUAUCGCGAGAUAUUUUUAUGGGUCUAUCUGCAAGCUACAACAUAACUAGAUUUGGGUGUAAUUCUCCCAAUCCAAGUUUCACAAAUACUGAGUAAGGUACAAGAUUGACAUUAGCUCUUAAGUCCAACAAAGAUUUUCAAUUAUGUGGUUUCCUAUACUACAAAAGAUAGUAGGGAAAUCUAGAUCUUUGCAUUUUAGAGGAAUUUUCUAAUGGAGUAUGGAACCAAUGUUCUUUAUUAAAAGGCUUUAUUUUGAACAUGGAUACUUCUUUUUUUAGUCAAAUGCCUUUAAGAAACUUAGCAUAAGAGGGCACUUGUUUUAUAGCAUAAAGCAAACGAAUGUUAACAUGUACUUGCUUAAAGAUCUCCAUAAUUUCACCUGUAAAAUUUUUCUUGUUUGCUUUACCUAAUCUUUGAGGGAAUAGAGCUUUAGGGAUAUAUUCUCACAGGUUGCUUUCUGCUUUCUCUUUUGAUGAUGAUUCUUCAAAGUUUAAAGGUACAACUUGAGUUGUUUUUUUCACCGACAUCUCCACUUUAUUGUCGACUUCUUUGCCUUUUUGUAAGGCCAUGAUGGUUUUGACCUCUUUAUGUUGUUGAUGCAAACUAGUACUAACUUCAUGUAUUCCCUUAGGAUGGGCACUAGCUGGCUUGGGAACUUGUCUUUCUCAAUGUCCAUUACCAAGGUUUGAACUAAAGAAUAAAGUUGACCCACUAUCUUUUGAGGUUCAAAAUCAUUUGGGCUUGUGAAUUUAUACUAACUCUCAUCUCAUUUUGCAACUCGUCAAUAGUGCAAUUUUGUUAUUCUAGUAUAAAGUGAGCCAUUUUUUAAAAAACUUUAGAGUGCCUCUUUCUAUGAUUUGGUUAAUGAGUAUCUCUAAUUCUGAUUGCACUGUCUAAAUUUUAGAGUGCUUCUUUCUAGGAGCAUGGUGAACUAGUUGGACUAGUGCUAGUGGAGCUAGACCUGUUGUUCUGUUUUGUUGGAAUCAGUGAGACCAUGAAAGUUGUGAUUAUCUCUCUAUUUAGGAUUAUAAGUAUUGAAGUAAGGGUUGUAGUUCAACUACUUUCUCAUCACACUAAUGGCAUUGUCUUGAUCUGGGUCUGAAUCAUGGUCAAAUUGAUUAUAGGCAUGUGGCUUUAUUGAUUUAACAGUCGUUAUUGAUAUUAUUUGGUGAGAAAGUCCUUAGACUAUUGCUUUGACUUCCUUGUUGUGUUGAUCCUGAUUUGCUAACGUGGACCUCAUCUACUCCCUUGAUUUUCUCAUUUUUUUUUAAUGAUUGGCUUCGUUGUUGGGAAUCAUCUGCUUGUCGCUAGAAGAAAUCCUAAAUUUUUUAUACACCUUUAAAGAUUAGCUCACCUCCAUUUCUUACCAUUAGCCAUUCUUGCGUGACAUAGUGUCAUUUCUCAUAUGUAUAAUGUGGACACUUAACGAGUAGCCUAUUGAAUCGCUCAUGUGCUUCAAAAUAUUACUCGUCUUCUCUUUGAGUAAACUUGAAAGUUUCUCGACGAAUAACUUUAGUUUUAUGUACUAGAUAUUAUUUAUUUAAAAACUUAAUUACCAUUUGUUCUUAUGAUGUGAAAUUAUUAGCAGACAAUGUACUGAAUCAAGAACGAGCUCUAUCUUUUAGAGAAAAUGGAAACAGUUCGAGCUUAAGAUCUUUAUAUGAAAAACUUUCAUAUUUAAAAUUUUGGCAAACAAUAUGAAAAUCAUUCAAAUCAUUAUAUGGUUCUUAGUUUUCUAAGCCAUAGAAUGAUAGUAGACAAUUUAGCACACUAGGUUUUAACUCGAACUCUUAAUAGUUAUAUUUGGGUAUCUUACAUCAAGGAAUCGGUAUGUCGUGCAAAAUCUAGACAAGAAUACUAUUGUUGUCAAUAAUAAGCCAAAACAAUCCAUAUAAAUCAGAGAUAACAUGUGAAUAAACUUACCAAAUUAAACCCAUGAAUCAUAAUGAGGUUUCACCUUCAACUUAAGCUUGAAAUUAUAUUAGCCACUCAUUAUUUAACUAAGGGUACAAUGAUAAUUUUAUUAAAAUAUAUAGAAAAUACAAAAUAGAGAAAAAAUUACAAAGAAUGGAGCUCAAAUUUAAAUUCAGAGCUGUUGAAUUAGAGGGAGUUCCCUAUUUAUAGAUAGAAUAGGUAAAUUAUGAUCAUCAGAUGAAAACAAUAUGGACUCUCAGGAUUGCGCCACAUGGUAAGCUCUGAUUGGCUCGAAUACAUCAUCAGGGCUGUGAUUUGGUCCAAUAAUAUACUACCACAUUAUUAAUCAAUGGCAUACCAUCGGUCAAUGCCUUGUCGGCAUUUUUCGAUCAAAUAGAAUAUUAUCAUCAAUCAAUACCACGUCAUCAGUCAAUGUCACAACAACAUUUUUUAGUCCAACAGGUUACUGCCACAUCAUUAAUCAAUAUCACGUCAUCAGUCAAUGCCACAUUAGCUGGGCCUCACUAAUAUUUGAAAAUUAUGAUUUUGCCCUUUAUAUCCUUCUUAAGGUUUUCAGCUAUUCUAAGCUAAAAAAUGCUAUCAUUUUACUGUCUGAUUUCUCGUUAAUUGUAGAAUAACCAAAAUACCCUUGAAAUACAUAAAAUACUCAGAUUAUAACAAAACACACACAAUCAAAGUUUAAAUGAUAUAAGUACAUAAAAGUAUAAAUGUUAGUAAGACUUCGAGCAAAAAAUGAUGAUUUUACCAUUUAUAAAUAUACACUCUCCAGCAUCCAAUAAGGUACCUCUAUGCCUAGAAAAUAUUUUAGCUUACCAAGCAUCUUAAUAUCAAAUUCUAUAGCUAGUUUCUAUUUUAAUGAUUCCUUCUCCACUAUAUCAUUAUUUGUCACAAUUAUAUUGUCUACAUAGACAAUCAAUGCUACAACUCCCUCUCUAGCUGAGUGUUCUAUGAAAAGCUUAUGAUCUCCUUAGCUUUGUUUGUAUCUUAUUGCUUAUAUGACUUUUGCAAAUGUGUCAAACCAUGCUUAUGGUGAUUGUUUUAAACUGUUAGAGUGCAAUUUAUGCACUAGUUUUGCAUUGUUUACUUCCCUUAAUAUCGAUGUUUUGCACUUAAUAAUAAUGAUUUACUUGUGUUUUACUUUUGUAGGUGCAAUUCUAUUGAUUUGUGAUAAAAUUGAGCUAUAAGAUGAUGUUUAAAGAUGAUUGUUCUCUUGGAGAAAUUAUGAGCGUCAGAAGAACUUUGUUGAUAAGGCGUGGGCGCGUGCUGUCAACUACGGACCUGCAGUUUUUAGUUUAAUGUGUUUUGUAUUUUUUAUUACGAAUUUAAUAUUUCAGAUAUUAGUAUUUUAGUUUAAAUAGAACUCUAAAAGAGAAGAGAGAGAGAGUAUUUAAGGGAGGAAUCUAUUGUGAAAAAGGGGGGAUUGAAGAAAAAGAAAGAAACCCUAGAUCUAAUUUUUCUCUUCUCUCUAUGAAGAACUAAACCUAUUAUUCUGGUUGAAGGUUAAUGAAUCUUUGAUUCAUCACUACUGUGAGAUCUUUCUUGUGCUUUAAUUGUUUUAUUGCUUUUUGGGUAUUUGUUUAUUCUCUGAAUUAGUUUCAUGAUUAUGUUUGUUAAUUAGGUGAUUGGCCACUAUUUAAUUAUCAACUUAAUCUAUUGUCAAUUAAAAGAUUCAUCAUAUGAAGAUUUUAAUGUUUGUGACAAAUAACAUAGCAGUGAGUUGUGUUAUGAGCAUAAAUAAUCUAAUUUAAAUGAACCAUCGUAUGCGUUUGUUGAUUAGGAUUUGGGUCUCUCUGGUUUUUCAGGCUGUCAAUUGAUUAAAUUCUAUGAUCGUAUCUAGGGUUGUCUAUUGAUUAGGGAAAUAUCCAACGGUCGUACCUUGGUUAUCGACUAGUUAAGGAGAGAUUGGCUAUUAGAGGGUCUCAGUAGCUAUAACCGGUCUAUUCAUAAGUAAUAAUAAUAUAUAUUUGAAUCAAUGAUCAGUAGUCGAAUCAAGCUGAGUUAAUUCCUUCAACCAGAGCUUUCUCUAAUUUGAAUUACAACUUUAAAUUGCAUUCUUGUUAUUUUUAUUUGAUUUUUAUUAUUGUCAAUAAUUCCCCCAGUUUACGUUUUACGUUUCAAAAGGAUUUAAAUAAUUACCGAUCUCUGUGGACACGACCCUACUCAAUCACUAUACACAAUUUAUUUAGAGUAGGAAUUUAUUUUUGUUGGUUUCGACAACCAUCAUAAACCAUAUAGUGUUUUUUUCAAUCACGACACAUGAUUAAAAAAAAAAAGCCAUUAAAUCCUAUCGCAAGAUCCAUAUAGACUUCCUCCUCUAAGUCACCAUGCAGAAAGGCAUUCUUAGCAUCAAACUACUGCAUAAACCAUCCAAAAUUAAAUGCCAAAGAAAUCAAAAUUCAAAUAUUGUUCAUUCAGUAACUAAGGAAAAUGUAUCUUGAUAAUCUACACUAUAUAUUUCAGUAUAUCCCUUCGCCACUAGCCUAACUUUAUAUCUUUUUAAGCUUCCAUCAGCCUUAUAGUUCAAUACAAAUACCCAUUUACACUCUACAGUUUUCUUUCUCUUAGUCAAAUCAACUACAUCAUAUGUCUUAUUCCUUUUUAAAGCAUUCAUCUCUUCCCUCAUAACAUCCUCCCAAUUAUUAUUUUCUAGUGCCUAACAAAGGGUUUGUGGAACUUGAAUGGAAAUGAUCUCAAAGAGAAAGGCUCUAUGUGAAGGGGAAAAUUUUUUUAAGGAUGUGUAGUGAGUUAUAGGGUAUAAGGGAUUUUUAGUAAACUUUCUUGCACCUUUCUUAGUGGCUAUAGGUUUAUUAGUGUUAAUAAUAUCUGGAGAAUAAGGUAAAGAAGAAGAAGUUUUGGUACCUUGUUUUUGUUCACACUCAUAGGCUUGCAAAUACAUAUGGUUGGGUUGUAGUCCCCUUGUAUAGACCUAUAAUAGACAACCCGUGGUAGUUUUAGGCUAGUGUAUUUGAGGAGACUCAAGAACUAGACUCAGUGUUGCUUCAGAAUGGGAAUUUGGAUUCGAACUAUCUGUCGGAUCCAUUGAUUUAUUUUCAGGUUUAUUUCUAGUUAUUAUCUCUAUUUUUUUUAUCUUGUGACACUGGAAAAAGAAUAGUAAAUUUCCUUAGGCUGCUCUUCUCUUCAAGAUAAGUUGGAUUAAAGAAAGAUUAUUUUUUAUUGAUUGUGACAUUUUUGACCAAAAAAAAUUUCCAAGAGGCAGUAUAAUAACAUUCGUACCCUUUUUAAGUGGUAGAAUACCCUAUAGAGAUGUACUUAAGGGCUCUUGGAUCAAGUCUAGUUUAUUGCUAUUUGUGAAUGUAGAUGUAAGAAACACAACCAAAUUUUAAAGGUACUUUUGAGUAGAAUUAUUCUUUUGAAAGAAUUCUAAUAGAUAAUUUAAGUGACUUUUGAAGUCUAUGACUCUAGAGGAUAAUUGAUUGAAAAAUGUGUAAAAGUUAAAAUCGCUUCUCCCCAGUAACUUUGUGGUAUAUGAUUUCAGAAACGUAGGGCCCUGGUUACUUCAACAAGUUGUCUAUUUUUUCUCUCAACUACUCAUUAUAUUGUGGAGUGUCAACAUAUAAAGAUUAGUGAAUAAAGUCUUCUUUUUCAAAAAAUUAUGAUAGUGUUUGAUUGAAAUAAUCCCUUGCAUUAUCAGUUCUAAUACAUUUAAUGCUUACCUCAUAUUGUGAUUUUAUCAUAAUAAAUAAAAUCUGAAAGAUAUGACUCACAUCUGAUUUUAUUUGAGAAGAUAUACCCAAGUCAAUCAAGUGCAAUCUUCAAUAAAUGUUACAAACCCUUUAGCUCCUAAAGUAUUGGAAAUUCUUGAUGGUCCCCAUAUAUCAGAAUGAAUUAAAGAAAAAGGUGAUAAUGAUAUUGUACUAUUCAAAGGAAAUGGUACUCUAUGGUGCUUUGCAAAUUCACAAGCUUCACAAUGGAAAAACUCAACAUCAAUAUUUUUAAACAAAGAAUGAAACAUUCUCUCUAGAAUUUUGAAUGCAGGAUGUCCUAAACAACAGUGAUAAUUCCAAAUCUUAUCUUUAUUUGAAUUAAUAGAAAGUAAAGAUAAAAACAAAGGAUCACUACAGCUAUGCUUGUAUGUAAAACAGUACGAUACUUUUGUUGCUCUAGCUUGCCCAAUUAUCCUCCCUAUGGUUUAGUCUUAAAAAAACACAAUGAUCAUUGAAGAAUGCUACAAGACAUUUAAGGUCUUGAGUUAUUUUAUGGAUGGAGAGUAAAUUAACAGUAAUGUUAAGAACUUAAGACACAUUUUCAUAGAUGAAUGAAGAGGAAAGAGCCAUUGUUCCUUGGCCUCCGCAUUAAUUAAUAAUCCUCUAUAAUUUUUUUUUUUUUUUUUGUUGCUAGUACACUGCUACUAGGUGCUAAGACAUCCUGUAGAAUAUGUCAUGUGAUCUAUUGCAGCUGAAUCUACUAUAUAAGUGUUGGAAUUGAAUUUUUUUAAGGCAUUAAAGAUAUAGAAAAUUAGUAUUACCACUUUGAGCAAGAGAGCGUGAUUUAUAAUAUUUCUCAAGAGUAAUGAGGAAAUUUAUUAACCUUUCAAUCUCCUAUGAAUUGAAUAAGCUAGCCUUUGUACCGUUUGCUUCACGACCUGGUUUUUCACAUUGGUGAGAUGGGCUUGUCCCUUCGAUUGAUUUCCUUUGAAGCCUUUACCCAUUCCUAGAAGCUCACCAUGAAGUUUUCAGUAAUCAUGUUAUGUGUCCCUUCUUCUUGCAGUAGUUGCAUUAAAGGUUGUCUUUGUGAGUGAAUUUAUCUCCAUCAUUCUUCAUGACUUCAGCAACAUUUAGACCAUCCCUUACAGUUUUUCUUUAAGUGAUCAUCAUUGCAGACCCCUUACAAUUAGAGUUUGGCAUUUUGACAUCACAAUCCUUCUUCCUUCUUCUACCUUAAAUUGGAGAAAACUUCAUUGAAUGAUGGUAAUGUAUCCUGCAAGGAACCCAAAAAUUCUUUCUCUUUUCACAUAUUGUUUAAGACAAUAUCUUCACUACAUUUUAUCUUAAAAUAUUGAUAGUAAUCCAACUUUUACAAAAAAAAAGAAAAAGGUUAGAUUAUAAUAUCAAUGGCAGAUAAAUUACCUUGCUUGGUUGUUGAGAAUUUCAUCUUAAUCUUAUUAUAUAUUAUUGCAGCAUCUUUAGCCUCGAAGUAAGUAUAUCUCACAGCUUCCCAAAUUUCAUUUGUUGUAGUCAAGAACAUGUAAGGUCCACUCACUUAUGACAUCAUUGAAUUCUAAAGCAAUGAUAUUAUGGUGGUGUCUUCCUCAUCCCACAGUAUAAACUUAGGAUCUUCAAGGUUUGGGGACAAGCAUAAGAGGUAGUUAAUCUUCCCUUUUUCCUUUAAAAAAAUUCUUCACAAGUUUGAGAUCGCUUUUAAGUAAUUUCUCUCAUUCAAGCGGUAUGAGACUUGCAGAUUUUGGAGUUCUCAUGUUGCUUAAUUCUUUUGAUUUUCACACUUAAUAAUAACUAUUUCUUUAGGGGUAAUGUAAGAGGUUUCAAAUAUGAUAAAGUUAAAGAGAACACAGAACAUCAGUCAAAAAAUUUGAGCAACGACUGAUGAUUGUUUAGGCAAUAAGUAGAUCUAAAACAAGGAUUCUAAGAACUUUCAUUUGCUCUGAUACCACGUAGCGAAAUUCACUCUCAAUUGUACUAAAUAAUUCAGUAAAAAGCAAAAUAUAUACAGCCUCAGGAUCUUAUUAUAGGAAAGUUGACUAAUUACCAAAAAACAAAUUAACUGUUGUAGUAGGAAGAGUAAUUGCAUAUCCUCUUUCUAUACAAGUCAAGAAAUUACCAUAUAAAUUAACUACAAUAAAAUAAACCCCAGAACAACAAAAAAAAAUCAAGUAAUCAAACAUAAAAAAUAAUAAAUAAUUAUCCCAUAGAUAGCAAAAAAAGAAAGUAGCAAAAUAGUUAUUUGUCUUAUCUCUAGCACAAUCGAAAGUAAUUUCAAAGGCAACAACAAUAGCCAAAAUAACAAAAUUGACAGCAAAUAUAAAUAAGAAACACUAUUAUAUUAAACCCAAACCAACAAAAAACAUUAAAAAAAAAAAGAUAUAGAAUGAAGAUGAUCAAACGAUAAUUAAUCUUGCGAGUACCAUGAAAGGCAUCGGUGAUGCUCCGAUCUGAUAGAAAUGAAAGAAAGGCACACAAUGGUGAUGGUGGGACCAAACGCGCACUGACGGAGGCAAAACGAAUGAUGGUGGCAUGUGACCGUCGACGAUUCAAACAACUAACUGUGGAACAAGGAUAACAAUUUGAUUGGGUUCCUACGUGUUUUAGCCAGAUUUUCGUUAAGAUCCAAUCCAAACUAUUAAGCAGUUGUUCUCAUUGGAUCUAGGUCAAAUCCAAUUAAAAACAAAUAAAAUUUAUAUUUUGAGGGAGAUUAGGAUAAGCUUGAAUUGGGUGUAUUUUCUAAUGAUUGGGGCAAGAGGUAUAGCUGAGUUGAUCUAGGAGGUGAGUAAAGGUGAUUUGGAAGGUGAACUGAGGUGAUUUGAGAGGUGAACCAAUGUUGAGAGCUUAAUGGAUCUCAUGAAAGUUAAUUUCAAGAGUUGACAUGAGGACCUUAAGAAAGUUAAGGGAAUAGCUCUAGGGAACUUGAGGAUAGCUCUAGAGAGCUAAUCCAGGGACCUCAGUAGAGCUUGGAAGAUAAUUUAAGUGAGCUCAUAUAUAAAAUGUAAUCUAGGCAUCAAAACCAUCAUAAUAAGUAGAACAUAAGCAUAAACAAUAAGGAACACAUAAUAUUUUACGAGGUUCGACCCUUUGAGCUACAUCCAUGGGAGUAGCUCAUCUGAAAUUCACUAUAUAAAUGACAUAUUACAUGAUUUGCUUUACAAUAUCAACAAAACAUUUUUAAAGUUUGUUUAUGGUAGAUAAUAAUAUGACGAAAAUGUGGUCUUUUGGAGACUAGAGGGUUUUCUAGGAGAAGAAUAAUAGAGGAUCAUAUUUGAGAGAUACGAUGGCCAAAAUAUUCCUUGAAGGUAUGAAAAUGGAGAAAGAAAUGUAGAAAAAUAGAGCAAGAAAAAGAUAAAGCAACCUCUUAAGAAAUUGGAUUUGGAAAAAAUGGCUAAUGGUUGGAAUGAGCAAAAGGAGGGAAAGUCCCCCCCCCCCCAAGAUUNNNNNNNNNNNNNNNNNNNNNNNNNNNNNNNNNNNNNNNNNNNNNNNNNNNNNNNNNNNNNNNNNNNNNNNNNNNNNNNNNCCCCAAGAUUGAACAUGUAGACCUUAUAUACAACUAUUCUUAAGGGCAUUUUGAUAAUUUUAAACACGUGGCGCUUAAUUAAUGGUUGUCCUUCUUCAGAUGAGGACAUUUAUAUAAUUGGACUUAUAGCCCCGAGAUUAUGACACCUAUGAGCUUGGGAGGUAAGGAAACCUCCAACCAUCAUUUUGCUUCCAACAAAUGACACGUAGAAGCCUCUCCAGCAUAUGGUCCUAUUGUUUUUCUGGUGGUAUUAAAAGGACAGCUGACGUGCCCUUCUCUUAUUCCUGGGCUAGAGAAUCUUUAUUCUUAUUAGUUCCUCAUCCUUAGUCAAAAGAAGAUUUUUUUGUUCUCUCUCAUGUCGGCCCUAACCCCAAAAUCUAGCUUCCGAUAAUACUCUUUAAUAUUAUUUAUUUUACCGAAAUUGCCCUUUUCUUCAAGGAGCUUACCUCUUAUCUUUCUGUGAGCUAUUUUGAUGCCUAGUCAAACAAAUUGACUUUUCUUAGUUGACUUUUCUUGUCACCUGCCAUCAAAUUAUUAGCCACAUUAGAACCUAAAUUUUCCCCUAAACAUUAGGGUUUGAUUAUUAUCUUUAUAUAAGUUAAUUGGCAAUGAUGGUGAAGUACAAAGACAACGAGCGGCGGUGAAUAUGUAUUGGACAAGAGGUAAUGGGAAAAAAAAUUUGAAUAAGAAAAACUAAGAAUUCGAAAGUGUCAAAUGUGUAAAGUUACGACAUGUAAAGCUAUCUGUUUUUCUUUUAUUUUUGUUGAAUAUUAAAUCUCAACUGUUCAAUUCAUUUACGUCUAAUCCAACGGUGAAUGCUUUACUAUGUUAUGAUAAAGGGACUUUCAGUCACUUUAUUAUAGAAGCAUGUUAUGGGACGAAAGUUUACAACCCUAUGCAGCACUCCUGCAUCCAAUACUACGAAAAUAAGCCUAGUUAAAGUUGACACAUUAUCGACUGGUUUUGCCCUACCUUGGGCUCAUUAGGAGAAUGGCUCUAGUUCCCAACUACUAUGUAGGAUUGGCUUAGUCCCCUUUUCAAUGUUAAGUCCUUGACCAGCGACAAGCUCCCCACAAUUAACCAAGUUGGCUUGCCCAAACUCCAAAGAAUCUAGUGCCAUUGUACUCCCUACACGCACAUCUUGAAGCACAUCUCCCACAAUCAGCACAUCCACGCUCUGAAGCAUGUAAUUUGGGUGUCACAAUUGCAGUCCAUGACAUUCUCCCAUCGCCCUGACCAUGCACGUCCUCGUGCACGAAGAGUACGCGUCGCAAGUAUACACAUCCACGCGAAAGCAUAAAGAUCGCCUUGCACAAUCUCACCCAUGAACUCCCUGCUUACUCCUUGUUUCAAGUAGAAGACCCACGUGCAGACACUGUUCCGCCUGGUGCAAAUGCUUGAGGGUGUGAGAACCCACUUUUUCAUCCCGUUUGUUGACCUUUGUUGUGACAAAGAGUGAGGAAAUGCAUGGUGCAACAUUGGAGCACUUGGCAAGUUUGCAACAAGGGUUUUAGGAGAUGGCAAGCACAGCUCUAAUACCAUUUAUCAUGAGACGAGAGGUCACAACCUCGUGCAACACUCCCACGUCCCAUACCACGAGAGAAAGCCUAGUGAAAUUGGUACAUGAUCAACUGGUUUUGCCCUACCUUAGACUCAUCAAGAAAACAACUCUAAUUCCCAACCAGUCCCCUCUUCAACAUUAAAUCUUUGACUAGCAUCAAGCUCUCCAAACUCAAUUGAGUUGGCAUGCCUAAACUUUGAAGUAUCCAGCGCUAUUCUACUCCUCAAAUGCACGCCCUAAAGCAUAUCUCCCACAAUUAGCACAUCCAUAAUCGAUACUGGCGUACAAGCGCAUAAUUUGGUUGUCAUGAUUGUAGUCCGUGACAAGCAGCCCUCCUCAUUGUCCCAAUUUUAAAAAAGAAAAAUUAUGCACCGCUUUUAUUUUUUAUUUAUUUGUCUAACAAUCGUACAGUGGGAUCCACACGUUACCGCCAUGCUUUAAGAAUUUUUAGAAAUCAGCUGUGACUCCGCAGUCACGUUACAAUAUUGCAAUAAAAAAUAAACAAAUAAAUAAACUGGACCGUAUCGUACUCAAUAAUUUCCCUCAAUAUUUGAAAAACUGAAGCAGAUUUGUGUAAUUGAAGCUCAGGUUUACAAACAAAACCCGAAAAAACAGCGUCUCUCGCUUUCUCUAUCUCUCUCCUCCUCUUUCUCUCUCAAUCAUAGGGUUUCAAUACGCGCCGUUUCGCUCUUCUCAAUCGGUGACAGCAUUGCCAGUGAGCGUGUGACCUCCAGGUAAUUUUAUCUUUUCCGCCUCUUUUAUUUUCGAUUAAUGAUAGUUUUUUAUUUUGUUUUUUGUAAAUUCAUUUGGUUGCUUAAUCUUCAGUCUCAUGUAUCGAUUCAUUUUUUUUUUUCAUUUUAAGAUUCGAUCUAUAUUUCUGUGCUAAUUUAACUGUGUUAUUAGUAUUGUGCUUGUUGAUUUUGAUCGAAUUUUUGUGCAUUAUUCGAUCGAAUUGUGUGCUCAAUUGGAUCAAGUCUGAUUCGAUCUGUUGAUACUCUUGUUUGAUAAAAUUAGGAUUGUCGAUGGGUUUCAGAUUUGGAUUACUUUUAAUCUCUUUUUGUUAGGUUUGUGUCUCAAAUCAAUUUUGUUGAGGUUUAAGCCAAAUGAUUAAAUUUCAGUGUGCUCUAGUAAUAAGUUAUAUAAAUUGACUGACGAAGACUCGGUUUGCUUCUUUCAAAUUUAUGCUGUUUCUGAUGAUAAUUGCUUCACAGAGAGUCAGUGGCGGGGUCAUACUUGUGGAGCAGUGGGGAACAUUAAUUUACUUGAAAGAAUUUGGUCUUUAUUCAAGUAUUUUUUAUUUAAUUUUGUAUAUAUUUUACUCAUUUGAAGUAGUUUUGUUGAUGAAAAUAUUAUUUUUUCCUUUUUUCUUGUAUUAUAUUGAAAGCCUAUGGCAGCAAAUCGAAAAUUCAUUGGGGGCAAAUUCAAAAUAUGGUUGAAAUUUAAAAGUAAUUUCCUGAAAAAAAUUAGACUCAGGGAUUGCAGCUGCCUACACUGGUCCCUAUGUGAGUCUGUUACGGCUUAAGGUUAUGAAUUAUAUACCAGAAAGCCAUUUAAUUCAUGUUGUUUAAGUUUAGUGAAACUCUGCAAGUAAAUGAUCAAUGUUUUAUGAAACAAAUAAAAAAAUGUGAACUAGAUAGAGUCUCAGCUAGAGAAACAAUGUCUUCUAUUCCAUCGAGGGCAGUUCUUUGUUUUCUUGCAUACUAUUACACUGUGAUCUGACAUUUAUUUACGUUUGUCUUAUUUAUAUUAUAUUGUUUUAAUUCUUCAUCAGAUUAGGGAUUUGGUUUUGGGUUUGAGAAUUCUUUUGUGAGUGAUUCAGUUUUCACUGGUUAGGUUCUGAAUUUCUAUAUAUCUGGCUAAUGCAACAAUUCACAAUUUCAGAUAAAAUAUGGCAAUGGAAGUUACCCAGGUGCUUCUGAAUGCACAGUCAAUAGAUGGAACUGUGCGGAAGCAUGCAGAAGAAAGUUUGAAGCAGUUUCAGGAGCAAAACCUUCCCAGUUUCUUGCUGUCGCUCUCUGGAGAGUUAGCAAAUGAUGAUAAGCCUGUUGAUAGCCGUAAAUUGGCAGGUUUGAUACUCAAAAAUGCCUUGGAUGCGAAGGAACAGCACAGAAAAUUUGAGCUUGUGCAAAGAUGGUUGUCAUUGGAUGCCAAUGUGAAGACCCAGAUUAAGACUUGUUUGUUGAACACCCUGACUUCUACAGUAGCUGAUGCUAGGUCAACUUCAUCUCAAGUUAUUGCCAAGGUUGCGGGCAUUGAAUUGCCACAGAAACAGUGGCCUGAGCUGAUAGUCUCACUUUUGUCAAACGUUCACCAGCUACCAGCUCAUGUUAAGCAAGCCACUUUAGAGACUCUUGGGUAUUUGUGCGAGGAAGUCUCUCCUGAUGUUGUAGAACAGGAUCAUGUAAAUAAAAUACUUACAGCUGUGGUUCAGGGUAUGAAUGCUUCUGAGAUGAACAAUGAUGUUAGGCUUGCUGCUACCCGAGCUUUAUAUAAUGCUUUGAGCUUUGCCCAGGCAAAUUUUAGCAAUGACAUGGAACGUGAUUAUAUCAUGAGAGUUGUCUGUGAAGCAACACAAUCCGCAGAAUUGAAGAUAAGGCAGGCAGCUUUUGAGUGUCUGGUCUCCAUUUCAUCAACUUAUUAUGAGAAGUUAGCUCCUUAUAUGCAGGACAUCUAUAGCAUCACAGCAAAGGCUGUGCGUGAAGAUGAAGAACCUGUUGCUCUUCAAGCCAUUGAGUUCUGGAGUUCUAUUUGUGAUGAGGAAAUAGAUAUUCUGGAAGAAUAUGGGAGUGAUUUCACUGGGAACUCUGAUAUCCCAUGCUUUUACUUUAUUAAGCAGGCCCUUCCUGCACUUGUCCCAUUGCUGUUGGAGAUACUCCUCAAGCAAGAGGAGGAUCAAGAUCAGGAGGAGGGGGCUUGGAAUAUUGCCAUGGCUGGGGGCACCUGCCUUGGUUUGGUUGCACGAACAGUGGGAGAUGAUAUUGUUCCCCUAGUCAUCCCAUUUAUUGAAGAAAACAUAGCAAAACCAGAUUGGAGGCAGAGGGAGGCAGCAACUUACGCCUUUGGUUCAAUCUUGGAGGGUCCUUCACCAGACAAGUUGCUGCAUAUUGUUAAUGUUGCUUUAUCCUUCAUGCUUAGUGCAUUAACAAAGGAUCCAAACAACCAUGUUAAAGAUACUACUGCUUGGACCCUUGGUCGGAUUUUUGAAUUCCUUCAUGGCUCAACCAUAGGUACACCAAUAAUCACCCAGGCAAAUUGCCAACAGAUAAUCACAGUUCUGCUUCAGAGCAUGAAGGACACUCCGAAUGUUGCUGAGAAGGCCUGUGGUGCUCUCUAUUUUCUUGCCCAGAGUUAUGAGGACGUGGGCCCAUCAUCUCCUUUAACACCAUUUUUCCAGGAAAUUGUUCAGUCUCUCCUUACUGUAACUCACAGAGAAGAUGCUGGGGAAUCACGAUUAAGGACUGCUGCAUAUGAAACAUUGAAUGAAGUGGUGAGGAGUUCCACUGAUGAAACAGCACCUAUGGUGUUGCAACUGGUCCCUGUCAUUAUGAUGGAGCUCCACAAGACUCUUGAAGGGCAGAAGCUUUCAUCUGAUGAGAGAGAAAAGCAGGGGGAGUUGCAGGGCCUUCUAUGUGGGUGCUUACAAGUCAUUAUUCAGAAGCUAGGAUCAUCAGAGCCAACUAAGUAUGUCUUCAUGCAGUAUGCAGAUCAAAUAAUGGGACUCUUCUUGAGGGUUUUUGCUUGCAGAAGUGCGACUGUCCAUGAGGAGGCCAUGCUUGCCAUUGGAGCCCUUGCCUACGCAGCUGGCCUUGAUUUUGCAAAAUACAUGCCAGAUUUCUACAAAUAUUUGGAAAUGGGUCUUCAGAAUUUCGAGGAGUAUCAAGUGUGUGCUGUUACGGUCGGUGUGGUAGGGGAUAUUUGCAGAGCCCUGGAGGAAAAAAUUCUGCCUUACUGUGAUGGGAUUAUGACACAACUUCUCAAAGAUUUAUCAAGCAACCAGCUACACCGUUCUGUGAAGCCACCUAUAUUCUCAUGCUUUGGUGACAUAGCACUUGCAAUUGGAGAGAACUUUGAAAAGUACUUGAUGUAUGCCAUGCCCAUGCUCCAGAGUGCAGCCGAUUUGUCAGCGCACACGGCAAAUGUAGACGAUGAUAUGACUGAGUACACCAAUUCUCUGAGAAAUGGGAUUUUGGAGGCAUAUUCUGGGAUUUUCCAAGGGUUUAAGAACUCUCCAAAAACCCAGCUCUUGAUUCCAUAUGCACCCCAUAUCCUCCAGUUCUUGGAUAGCAUGUACAUGGAAAAAGACAUGUAAGUUCUGUUGAUUGAUGUUCCUUUAUUAUUUGCACUUUGAUCAAGUAAUAAUCUGUAUUUUGUGGUUACUAAUUUUUUGUUCAUUUUACCCAUAGGGAUGAACUGGUCAUGAAGACAGCAAUCGGGCUUCUUGGAGAUCUAGCAGAUACACUGGGAAGCAAUGCAGGUUCUUUGAUUCAGCAGUCGCUUACAAGUAAAGACUUUUUAAAUGAGUGUUUAUCUUCAAAAGAUCAUAUGAUUAAAGAAUCUGCUGAAUGGGCAAGGUUGGCGAUUAAUAAGGCCAUUUCUGUUUGAGGCUAUUGGGCAUGGUCUGUCCUUCUAACGAGUCCCUGCAUGCAUUUGGGUCUGUUGAGUCAGGGUAAAGGGUUGCAUGUGUCAGGUCAUCAUCACAUUUAGACAACAGAAGUUAUCAAUCUUCAAGUUGUCACUAACUCUUGCAUCAGCACCAUGGGAUUGGGGUGUUCUUUGGCUGUGGAGGAAGUGCGUAGUGGCAGCAUCACUGAAGUGGAUGAAGCUACCCUCCACAAAAACUUAAUAGAAAUGAAAAGACAUUAUUAUGGUGGAGGGUUGAAGUCGAGGAGAAAGGGGGCCACAAUUGUGACAUACACUAAUACAAACUAGUCCAGCUUCACUGGCAAUUGGUGGCCCUUGAGGGUGACACCAAGCUUUUAUUGGAAACAACUUCAGAGCCAUCCUGGUGGUCUGCUUGCAAAUGGCUAUAUGUGGUCGGAAUGGAUAAUUGAUGAGUUGGUUCCCUAGUGCGGCACUUCAGAAAUUUUAUCUUCAUCCAGUUCUCAUUACUGAUUUUUCCCCCUAAAUCUUCUUGUUAACUUGAGUCUACAUCACUUCAUCAGCAUGUCUGCAUAGUCAUUUGGUUGUCUGAAUGUGAACAUUUUUCAUACAUACACAUUUGGUGGGUUUGGGGUUCAAAACACAAUUGAAAUCAUACACAUUUUGCAUUUGCAUUUUUCAUAUUUCAUUUUUGUCGUCAAUAGUUUGUCUUAAAAGUCAAAUGUUACAUACAUGCAUUCAUUCAUAAAGGUUUUUCCAUUCUGUCUUUAUUUGUUAUUACGAGAGUACAGGUUUUUAUGAACUUCAAUUGUGCUAUAUCAUACUAUGUAUCUCCGCAUGUGGGGGAGUGUUAUUUUUCAAGUGAUGUUAUGAAGAUCAUGGAUUUUUGUGAUUUUCCCUCUUUUAUAGGUUGUUUUCUUGGUUCAUGUUUCCUUAUUUUAAUUUUAUUUUGCUUUUAUUUCAUUUAUUUAUUUUACUUUGGAACCACCCCUUAUAUAGAAGGAAUAUCACCUAAUGAAAGGCCAAGUAAAUUAAUUAGUUUAAAUUAUUUCUAAAUAUAUUGAGCAGUAGAGUAUAUGCAGUAGAGUAUAUUGUACAAUUUAGAUGCAUUGCCCUGGUGGGCAUAUAUGCAUGUAGCAAAACGUAGGAAAUUAAAAUUAGUUGCUGACAUAAGGAAAUUAAAAUUAUUGGCUAACAUAAUAUAAAAGUGAUAUUCUUCUUUUCUUUUUAUUUCUUUUUUUGAUAACAUUGAAUAUCAUAACCAAACUAAUAAUAAUAAUAAGUCGCAUUUCAAAUUUUCAAAAAAUAGUAAAGUAAUGUUAUUACUAAGUCGCAUUUCAAAUUUAAAUAACGUUAUAACAAAUUACCAUCUAAUUGAGACUGACUGCGAGAUUGCACAAUUCACCAUGUGAGUUUGAAUGUCCAAUCGUUAGUUCAUUGUUAAGUUUGUUUUGCAUUAUUCGGCCCUCGGUUCUAUUUAACAUAUAAUUAUUAUUCAAAAUAGAAAUAAUAUACAAAUAAUCAAGACUUGACCAGACAUAUGAUAGACCUAUCAUGUUACAUUAUUUUAAAUAUAAACUUAAUAAAAGUGUGAUUAAGUUAUAUUAUCUAUUAACUUACAUCCAAAACAAAAGUUGUACUUAUGUUUAGUGGCGGCCUUAGUACCAGGUGAAUUAGACAGUUGCCUAGGGUCCUGUAUUUAGGAAGGUCUCAAUUUUUUGGUAUUUAUUUAUUAAUAAGUAUAAUUAAUAUUUUUUUAAAUAAAAAUUUAAGUUAUGUAUAUACUUUUUUUCUAUAGUAAAAAAGUUUAAUUUUUAGGUUUUACCCUAUUAUUACCCUCAUUCAUAAUUAUCUCCCUUAUUUGAUAAUCUUUACCUUAAAUGUAAGAUAUAUUUUUGUGGUACAAUAAUUAUUUUAAACAUUACUUCUUUUUUUUUUUUUGGAGGGAAAUUACUAUUUCCCAAAAAAAAAAAAAUUAAAUGCUUUACCUUUCCAAAAAUAACUCUUAUAAAAUUAGUAACGUUAGAUUUUAAAAGCUAACUUUUAGUAUUCUAUUAAAAUAUAUUUAAGAACUCAAGGAUACUUCCAACAAAAGGUUUUUGUGGUGCUCUUUUCUCUUUCUAUACGAAACUCAUUGUCAUCAUUAUAUUCACCUCAGUUAGUCAAUUGACUCAAUUCCAAAUGUUAUCAUUCUAUUUUUUUUUCUAUUUUUAAUUAUUAUUGUUCUUAUUAUUUUUAAAUAUUUUUUUGUAUUGAUUAUGGCUUGAAUAAUCUAGGAAAAAAAAUUGUGUUUGUUUAUUUGUUUGUUUUUUAGAUUUGAAAAACAUGUCAACUAGAAAAUAUGUAUCAAGAUAUGAAAAACUACAAAAAAAAAAGGAGAAUAGAAAAGUUGGUCCAAUAUAAAAAAUGAGCUCUUGAUAAAUUUGUCACAACUAGUAAAAAAGAUAUAGAUUUAAAGAAGAAUUAGUUAUUGAACAACCAACUUCAAAUGAAUUAAAUAAUGAUGAAACAGUGAAUGAAAUAAACUACAUUCAAGAUGAUAACAAUAAAAAUACAGACAAAGUUGAUGUAGGAAAUAUAUUUGUUCCAAAUUAUAUUUAUGAUCUAGGAAGAUGGAAAAAUGUUGAUACAAAGUUAAAAGAUCUUUUAAUAGAAAAAUGCCCAAUUAGAGAAAAUGAUAUAACUUUCCCAAAAGAGAAAAUUUAUAGGCAUUUCUCUACUAUAUUUUACGUUAAAAUGUUACCAAAUGAAGAAAAACAUGACAGAAAAUGGUUGAUAUAUUCAAAAGAAUUUGACAAAGUAUAUUCUUUUUGUUGCAAAUUACUCAAUACAAAUUGUAGCAAAAAUCAGAUUAAUAAUGAAGGAACAAGAAAUUGAAAAAAUCUUAGUUCUAAACUUGAAAGUCAUGACACAACCAAUGACCAUAUAACUAAUAUGAAUGCAUGGAUUGAUUUAGAAGUAAGAAUAUGAAAAAGAAAAACAAUUGAUAAAGAUGUUCAAGAAAGAAUUAACAAGGAAAAAGAAGAUUGAAAAAAAGUAAUAAUAGGAAUUAUUGUUGUUGUAAAGAAUCUUGCUAAAAAUAAUUUAGCAUUUCGUGGAAAAAAAAAUGAAAACAUUUAUAAAGAGAAAAACAUAAACUUUUUAAGUUUAACUGAAAUGAUUGCAAAGUUUGAUCCAACAAUGCAAGAACAUAUUCGACGUAUUAAAACUAGUGAAAUUCAUGAUCAUUAUCUUGGACAUAACAUACAAAAUAAACUGAUAUUGAUGGUAGCACUUGAAAUAAAAGAUCAAUUGUUAAUGAAGUUAAGGAAGCAAAAUAUUUUUUAGUUAUACUUGAUUGUACUCCAAAUGCAAGCCACUAAGAACAAAUGUCUUUCAUAUUAAGAUGUGUGGAUAUUUCAACAAAUCUAUUAAGGGUGGAAGAAUAUUUUUUAUGAUUUUUACAAGUUGACAAUACCACUGGAAAAAGGUUUUUUUUACGAACUUGUAGAUGUAAUUAAAACUCUUGAACUUGAUAUUAAUGAUGGAAUAGGACAAGAUAUGAUAAUGGAUCUAAUAUGAAAGGAAAAAAUCAAGAUGUACAAAAAAGAUUAUUAGAAAUAAAUCCUAGAGCAUUUUGUAUAUCAUGUGGUUGUCAUAGUCUUGACUUAAUACUUUGUGAUGUGGCUAAUUCUUGUUCUAAAGCUAUUUCAUGUUUUUUGGAGUUGUUCAACGUUUUUAUUCUCUGUUUUUUCUUCACCUAAAAGAUAGAAAAUUUUACAAGAUAAUGUACCUAAUUUAACCGUUAAAUCAUUGUCACAACACAUGUUGGGAGAGUCGCAUAGAAAGUGUCAAAACGAUAAGAUCUCAAGCUCCCCAAAUUAGAGAUGCUUUACUUCAAUUAGUAGAAGUUAGUGAACAUCCUAAAAUAAAAAGUGAAGCUAAAUGUUUAGCAACAUAUGAAUUAGAAAAUUUUGAAUUCUUGUUAGGUAUGAUUCUUUAAUAUGAUAUAUUAAUUGUUGUGAAUAUUGUUAGCAAAAGCUUACAGAAGGAAGAUAUCCAAAUUGAUGUUGCCAUAAAUCAACUGAAAGGUCUAUCAUCUUUUUUUGAAAAUCACAAAGAAAAUGGUUUUGUGUCUACUAUGAUUUAAGCUAAAGAAAUUGCAAAUGAAAAGGAAAUAGUACUAAUUUCAUGAAAAACAUAUAAUUCAUAGAAAAAAUAAUUUUGGUGAGAAUAAUAACGAAGAGAGAAUUUUGUCUCUUGAAGAUUCUUUUAAAAUUGGUUACUUUGUGUGUGUGUGUGUAGUAGUAGUAGUAGUAGUAGUAGUAGAUCAAGCUAUUUCUUCAAUCAGCAAUAGAUUUGAGCAAUUUCAAUUCUAAAAAUUAAAAUCAUUAGAUAAUGAAAGUUAAGAAGUUAUUGUAUUAAUCUUGAAAAUGUCUUGAAAUAUGAUAUGUUUUUUUAUAUUAAUGUAUUAGAUUUGUUUUUGGAGUUAAAAGUCUUAAAAGAGGUUUUACAUAUUGAAAGAAAUACUCCAUUUGAUACACUUAAUUAUAUUAAAAAAAUAGAUUCGUUUUCAAAUAUAUUUGUAACUUAUAGAAUAUUAUUGACAGUACCUGAAACUAUUGCUUCUAUUGAGAGAAGUUUUUCUAAAUUAAAGUUAAUAAAAUCUUAUUUAAGAACUAAAAUGUCAAAAUAAAGAUUAAAUGGAUUAUCUAUAUUAGUUAUUAGAAAAGAUUUGUUAGCUAAAUUAGAAUAUCAUAUUUUAAUUAAUAAUUUUGCAUCUCAAAAAGUAAGAAGAAUAAAAUUUAAUUGAUUAGUAAUUUGCAUUAGUGAUGGCUUGCGGCAAGGACCAUAGCAGGUAGGAGUAAUGAUUUAAAGUUCAUAGGAAGAUUAUGGCUGUGGCUGAUGAAGGUUUAGAGUAUCAUACGAAGGUGGAAUUUGUGGAAGACAAAGCUAGUUAAAUAUUUAUGUAGAAAUAAAUAGAUAUCUUUCCUUUUUUUUUUUUUUUGGAAUCUUGUUAAUAAUUGUUGUAAUUCAAGAUAUUAUUGAAUAUAGUUGAAUUUUGAGCUACUCGAUGUUCUUGCGAGAUUUUUUUGAGUUAUUAAAUGUUUUUGUGAGAGUUGAUAUUUUAAAAUCAGAAGGCCUAAAAUAAAGUUUCGCCUAAGGCCCCCAAUUGAUUAAAGUCAACAUAUGAUAUGUUGACAAACUAUAUUAACAAGUUUAUUUAAUUUUGCACUAAUAAAAUUUUAUUUAUUUUUACUUGUUCAAAGGCUCAAAACUGGAUUCAUUUGAACAAUUAAAGGGAAGUUAAUUAUUUCUCUUUAGAAAUCUCACUAUGUAAAGAGAGGUCACAUCUAAGUCAAGGUCUAGCUCCAAUGAUAACGAGCGAUUGACUUUCAUGGGACUCAAGUCUUGGAUUUGAACUUCAAAGGGACAUUAAACAAAUUCUCUUGAUCAACAUUUUAACCCCUUCAAAACUUCUCAAUUACAAUUCACUUUAUUGUAUAAUCAAUAAAGUGGUUUAUCAAAUAAUUCCACUAGAUAAAUUGUAUACAAAUUUUUACUAUUUUGUGUUAAGUGCAUUUGUUUGCAAUUCUUAGAACUCUUAUCAUAUUGUUUCUCGACAACCUUUCUAGGUUGUCAAAAGUAAUGUUUUUAAUAAGAUUAUUAGUGACUCACCCAUACACCACCACCCUAACACCAUCACUGCCGACAUGUGGUCUCCUGAAAGAUGAUAAAUCUAAUUUUAGUUGUCUUAAUUAAAUGAUUAUAAAAAGAUUAGGUGUUGGGAGUUGAAAGUAUUGUUUGUGUCAUGUCCUUUUUGGGAGUGCUUCCUUUCCACUAAUAAUAACAAUAAUGCAUUGCCAUUUCCUCACCAAAAUUCAACUCUCGAUGAAUUUGAAAAUGCGCUCUUUGAUUUCAUCUUAAGGCCACUCACCAUGUUUGUCUCCAUCUAAGGGUGUGUUUGGGAUUGAGGUGUUGUAGCUUUUAAGCUACAGCUGUUGUGAAAAAAAAGCUGUAAUUAUGAAACAAAAGUUAAUAAUAUAUAGUAAAUAUAAAUUUUAAAUAAUAAUUUUGAUAAGAUUAUUAAAGAUAUAGUAAAUUUUAUAUUAUACAAGUGAAAAAUCAUAUCAACAUAGCUUAAAAGCUACAGCAGUUAGUGUUUACCAAACACUUUAGUGCUGUAGCUUUUAAGCUACAGCUGCCCAACCUCAAUCCCAAACACACCCUAAAGCGAUGAAAGCGAAAUAUGAGGCUAAAAAAAUUAGGUAUUGCUUAUUUAUUUAUUUGUCUAAAAUUUGAAUCAAUUUGAAUUUAACUGAAGUUUGAGUAGUUUGAAUACAAUUAUUUAAAUGAUAAUAUAUAUAUUUUUUAAUAUUUGAAUAUAAGUGACAUCUUAUUUAUUUUUAUAAAUAAAAAAUUAAAAUCUGAGAUAUUUGACAUUUAUAUUCUUAUAAGUCAAAAUCAAGAAAAGGAGAUUAUAUUUUAUAAUGUAAGAAAUAGGCAUAUUCAAUAAGGAUAUUUUAAGGAUAUAAUAUAUAUUUAGGCCUUUUUCUAUUUAGAUGAAAAUUUUAAAAAUUUAUUUUUUAUUUUUCAUGUAAAUAUUUGAUACUCAGCCAUAAACUUCAAAAAAAGAAAAGUAAAUAAAAUUACAAAAAUGCCUGUAAUUAAGAAAAUUGCAGAAUUCAGACAUUUAGUUUCAUAUCAUUCAUUCACUAAAUGAUCAAAGUGGCGUUUGGUAACAUGGAAAAGAAAAUCUCAAUGAAGGAUUUAGAACAUCCCUAACUCUCAAUACAUAAUUUGGAUUUUGGAAAAAUGAAGACCACAUAUCAUCACCGUCCAUAGAGGGCCAAAAAAUAACAUUUUGAAAUACUUCUACAGCAGCACUUAUCAUUUUUUUUUUAAUAGGUAUUCAAAUUACUGUUUUAACUGCUUUAAUUUUUGUGGCUUCCGUUUAUUGUUGAAAAAUCAUGAACCUAAUUUGUGAAUGAUAGUUAAUUAUAAAAAAUAACGAGAGAUAUAUGGUUUUUUUUUAAUGUAAAUAUUUGAAAAGAGUAAAUAGAAGAAAAAGAAUAUAACCCAUGAAAAAAAUUAAAAAUUAUUAAUAAGUCAUAAAUUCUUAAAAGCUCAAGAAUAAAUAGAAAGCGUAUCAUAGAUUUAUAAUUCUAAAAUAAUUUAACUCUACCAUUUCAUGAGAAAUAAAUAAAACAUGGAAAGAUGCCAACAGCUUUUAUGAUUUGGUAAAACAGUUAUAGAAACCCUUAUCUUUAUGAAUGGUGAUGGAGAGAUAUUCAAAUCUUUUUUUGGGACAAACAUCGAGGGUUUGCACGCUAUUACUGAACUCAAAAAAGAGUUUGUAUCUCAAAAAGGAAUUAAUUUAUUUGACCAUUUCUAAACACAAAAAAGAAUUUAUGAGUUCCAAAAAAAAAUGUGUAUUUAUAAAAAUAAAGGAAUCUCAAUGACUACUUUGCCGAACUAUGGCUGUCACCAUCCUUCAUCCUAAAAUAUUUGGUGCAAUAUUAUGUUAGAGCUUAAAAUUUAUAUAUUAUACUUGGCCUAAUACAUAUGAAUACAGGGUGCCGCUGCCAAUUUUUUUGACAAAAUUGGUACAAUUAAUACAACAUUAGAGCUGAAGUUUACAUAUUCGACGUAAUAUGAUUACAUGUAGCAAAUUUCAAAUUCCAAUAUCCAACCAUUAAGUAUACUUUUAACAAUUAUCAUUGUGGGACAACAAAACUUUUUGUUGUAACUUAAAGUAGAUGCAAGUUCAAGCAUCUUUAAUUAAUUUCCAUCAUUCCAUGAUUCUAACAAUGGGUGCAAGUAAUACAAGAAGGAUGUAAGUAUUGUGACAUCUGGACAGCAAUAAUGCAAUAUAACCUAAAAAAAUCAAUAAAAUGAGAUGGUCAUCAGUCUCAGAAAUGAGAGCUGGUGGCGCAUUAAGAUCCACCAAUAAGCUGAAAAUGGCAGAUUGACUUACGCAAUAGAGAGAAGAAAAGCAGAUUGACUUACGCAAACGUUGAUAGAACACAAAACAGCCAAUAAGCUGAAAAUGGCUUAAGACUUAGCCAUGCAAUAACUGACUGCUUCAUUUUUUAUUUUUUAUUUUUUUGCUUUUUUGAUGAUAUGUAACAUAUUUAAAUAGUGAGCCACUCGGCCUUUGGCCCGAGUGGUUAGGGCUGCUGCCCUCCAACUUGAGGACAGCAGUUCGAACUCCCACAAGUGUAAUGUGGAAGUAUUUUUUCCUUAAUUAUAUUGUAUAAUUGAGUGAAAGUAGUCUUCUUCUUUACCCAAACGCGAAUAGAAUAGACGUCUCUUGAAUAUUAAUGAUGAUUAAAAAUUUGGGCAGAGCUUCAUAAGUAUUGAUGUAAGUUGGUCCUAAUAAUAAUCUAAUUUGUAAAUAUCAAUUACAAUCUCAUGUAAUAUGAGUUGUAGUUUCAAGAUAGUCUAAUGUAAUAAAAAAAAAUAUUUAAAUAGUGCAGUUGACUUUACUUUUGUGGGCAAGAGGGUUAAUGCAUUUCAUCAUAAUUCCGUUGCUAUUUGGUGGGGUUGCACCAUCACUACAGCUACAAACCCACAUUUCCUAACCCUCACAAUUCAGAAUAAAAGCAGACCUUUCGUCCCUGUCUCAUCCUCUGUCUGUGAAUUAAGCAUCAAUUGCUCACAUACUCUAUAUCAUCAAUGGCUGCUCUUGGGAUCAAGACCUUCAUUCUGCUUUAUCUCCUAUUCAAUAUUCCCUUAUUAUCUUCAGGUAAGAAUUUAUGUUCUAAAUUAAUUAAUGUCAUGCAUCUCGACACAUAAAAUAUAAUUUAUCUUAAUAUUUAAGUUUUUAAUUGUGACAGCAUAUCUUUUUAUUUUUUAGGAAUGGUUGAUGGCUUCAAGAUCAAUAGCAUUCACUCUGAUCAACAAUCACUGCACAAGGUAGUGUGUAUAGAAGCUAUAUGAAUAUUAUAAUAUCAGGUUUAAAAAUAAAUAAAAACUAACUCAUGCAAUAUAAUAUUCAUGUGAAGAAUAAUGUUAAUACUCAUGCCGUUAGGCAUAACUCAAUUGAUUGAAAUGCAUUUCGAGAGUUCGCAGUCACUCGAGUUUUAAAAAUAUUAAGGAUCAGAUUUGUUGUUUAGUGGAUGAGAAUUUUAAUAUUCCCCCUCCAAAUCUUAAAAAAAAAAUGUUACUAUUUAUUUAAGAGUAAAUUCUCUUUUAGAGUUUAUGAUUUAUUCAAUUAUAUUUUAAAGAUUAUCUUAAAUAUUUCCUAUCGCAUAUCUAUUUAUGUUAAAAAAAAAUUAUUACUGUCUACAUUUCUAUAUUUAUUUUAAUUAAUCUUCGGUUAUAUAGGAUAAAGAUACUAUUUUACUUUUCAAAAGUUAGAUCCAAUAUUAAUAGAAGCAUUGACAUGGACUUUUGGAUAUCUUUUAAUAAUAUAAUGAAACAAAGAUAAUUUGAACCCCACCUCGACCCCAUACAAGAACAAAUACAAGUUGAAAUAUUUUAAGAUAUUCUUAAAAUUUAAAUUAAUGAAAGUUACCUUAAAAAUUUGUCUUAGUGAGGUUGAAGUCUAAUUCAUUGCCGGGGUGGAUAUCAUUUUUCUUUUUCUAUAAUACAAAGACUAACCAAGAGUAAUUGGUGCAAACGUAGAAAAUAAAGGAUUCAGCAGACUAAUGGGGAGUUCAUAUACGUUUUUACUUUAUAACAUCCUGCAAUAUUAUAGAAAGCUUUUGAUUAAUUUGUAGUAAUUUAGCUGAUUUUGUUUGUGUUAAGGACAUGAGUAUGAGGAAGAGGUUGAUGCUUGGUGCGGUGCUGGAUUAUGAUGAUACAGGUCCCAAUCCAAAGCACGACCCCAGGAAAAAACCUGGACCUGGUGGCAAGCCUUGAUUGCAGCAAAUUUCAUACCCCUUAAUACUAAUUAAUUUAUCAUUAAAUAAUACUGGAAAGCACUCUUUCUCUCUACUCUCACGAGGUUUUGGUCAUCUAUGAGAAAACCUAUAGAAUAUUGCAUUUUAAAUAAGUUUAUACAGUAAUAAUAAUAUUAACUGUACUAACCCUUGUGUUCAUACAGGGGUGUUGUUAUAAGAAUUUUCAAUAUGAGUUCGCAACAUUAUUGUUCUUCGGAUAAUACUGAUCUUCUGUACUUUCUUUCUUUGGCUAUUAUAUUGCCUGCCAUAUGAAUAAUAAUAAAUAAAUGAUGUUUGCAUUGCUCCAUGCCGACAACAUCUUGUAUGAGGACGCAAUCACACAAAUGUGUAUAUUUGGAUUGAGGCCAUACAUUAAAUAAUCUACGCAUGAUUAUAUA
rnacentral:lncRNA from 1 species